rnacentral:lncRNA from 1 species
AAAAACAAAGUAAAAAAAAAAAAAGAAGAAGUUAUAAGCAUUUUGUUUGCCAAACGUUUGUUUUUAUAUAAAUAAGCUGUCUCAAAAAUCAGACCAAAUAAUGAAAAAUAAAAGAUUGUAUGAUUAUUCUAAUCAGUAAUAUCAGUAAUUUUCGCCUUUUCUUUUUUUGGAUGCCCUGGUUGUCUUUACCAUCGUUGCUAAGUUCAUAUCUCCUUAAUUAAUGAAAUGAGUACCUGCCUACAUCUUCCUCAAAAAAAAAAAAAAAGGGAAAAAAAGUAAUUUUAGUAAGAAGCUAAGAACUGUACUAAUGUAACACAACAUAUAUACAACAUCAAAGUUGGCAAAUUUCAAUUAAUUCCUCACCAAUUCUGUCACAUAAUUCACCAGCAAAUGCACACACACUCCACAGGAAUAAGAAUCAUCUCCUUGUCAUAUUUUUCUCACACAGUUAUUCCUGGAGCCAAAUUAAUUAAGAUUUGUACAAAAAUCCUGCAGAGCAGCAGUUCCAGAAAUGUGCAAACACCAACAAAUCCCAAAAAAGCAGUGAUAAGACAUCACUGGCUCUUAAUGUCAUGUCAUGUUAUUAUUAUGUUAUGUUAUGUGGCUUCUUUUUUUUUUUUAAUAUAUAUAUAUAUAGCCGGCUAUAUAUAUAUAUAUAUUAAAAAUGACUAAAAGUUUAAAUCUAACAGUGGAAAACUCGAUAAUAUCAAGCCCUUAGUGCUAUCGAUAGUAUACCAGCCGGACUCUCUCUCUCUCUCUCUCUCUCUCUCUCUCUCUCUCUCUCUCUCUCUNUGGCCAUUGGUUGAAGUGGGCCUCCAAAAGUUAAGAUAAUGUGGGCCUCCAAAGGUUGAGUGAGUUGUUGGUUGAAUAGUAUAAUCUAACGGAUGAAAAUAGUAAAAGGGUUAAAUCUCACGGCGGAAAACUCGGUCGCACCAAGUGCUUAGUGCUAUCGAUAGUAUCCCAGCCGGAUAUAUAUAUAUAUAUAUAUAUAGAGAGAGAGAGAGAGAGAGAGAGAGAGAGAGAGAGAGAGAGAGAGAGAGAGUCUAGCUAUGGUGCUUGUAAAAGCACCAAGCACUUGAUACUUGUAAGUUUUUUACCGUUAGAUCUUUGUCUUUAAUCAUUUUCAACCGUUAGAUUAUACUAUUCAACCAACUACCCACUCAACCCUAGGGGGUCCACAUCAUCCCAACCGCACAUCCCUUAAUCCAAGGGCCCAAAACUUACAAGUACCAAUGACUUGGUACUUUUAAAAGCAUAGGAGCUCAAUUAUAUAUAUAUAUAUAUAUAUAUAUAUAUAUAUGCCCUUUCAUUUAUAUAAUGUUCCACCCUUGAUUAUUCCUGAAACAUGCUCUCACUCUUUGAUUUAAUUUUAAAAAAGUGCAUGAUUAUGGAGGAUAUGGCAAGAAAGAUCAACAUCUAAGCACUAAGAAAAAGAUUGGCCGCUUUAUCGGACAUAUGGAGCUUUAUACCAUACGCUGGCUUGAAGGGGCCAGCAUCUUGUCCUACGGCGGAAGGUCGGGUUUGGCCAAGUUAUGUUCGAAAUGGCGUAAGACUGAUUGGGCCGAGUCACAAUCGAAACUCGUGGGUGCUGUGUCUGUAUGUUUUAAGCGGAUUGGUUGUAUCUUUCUACCAGCUCGAACUUUUGAAAUUAAUGGUUAGCGCUAACGAUCCGACACUAUAAUCUAACAAUCCUCAUGUAACACUCUUGGAAAUGCAUCUUAAUAUAUAUAAAUAAAUAUCAGCUUCUAAGCACUCAAUAUUUGAUUAUGAGGAACUGCUAUUGGUGGAGAAAAGAAUGGUUUUUAUGGGAUUUGAUGAGAUUCUUGGCCCUUCAACAUAAGUACUAAAUUACUAAACUAAGGUUAGUGGUGAGAAUGGCUUUUGCUUAUGUUUGUUGGCAAUAAACUAGCCAAUGGUUUCCAAAAUAUCAUAACAAGGCGGCGACCAAUGGCGCAGCGCCAUGUGUGUUGCACUUUUGUAACAUGCUAUGCAUAAAGGUUUGGCUCUUAUCUCAAAUUGAAGUGUGAGUGUGACAUGCAUGUAUGGCACUUUCUAUUGAUCAGUCACAUUUAUCUAAAGAGAUUUUGAGUUUGACUCAGCGCAUUUUCCUAAGCGGAUUCCACGCGGAGGCAUGCGAUCGGCGCUGACAAAUUGAUCUGCGCGAAUUCGAUCUUUCUGAUGUAAGAGGAGACUGAAAGAUUUCGACGAUAAUCGCGAAUUCAUCGCCAUUUAGGGAGCUGAACAAAUAUGUGCAAGAGAAUUUCAAAAAGGAAAGUUGCAUGAACAAGAAAGAGAGACUAAAUAAAAUUAGAUAUCCAAUGUGCCCGAAAAAGCGAUUCCGAAGAAGAUAUCUUUUAAUUUUGAAAAGAAAGUAACAGGUAAAGAAGCAUCAUCUAUGUAGCCACUAAAAGCGCGAUUUCUAGGCCAUUAGAGAAAAGAAAAAAGGCACUUAGAAUUGGUUGAGGACCAAGGAUCAGAUCCUAAGUUGUCAGAGUGAUGCCGAGAGGCCCGAGUUCCUGGAGAUCGAAAUAGACAAUUGGCCACUGAGAGGUUCCCCAAUCCUAAGCUAAGCUGACCCCCGCCACGCAUUCUCCGAAGUGGAUUCUACCACCGAUAAUGACGUGCGUGGCGCGCGACGAUUGGCCAACCAAAUUGUUCUUGUUUCUUCAUUGAGCUAUCCGCUGCUAUAUGAAGCUCACUGCCCCCCGUCAGAUACCGCUGUCAUUGCCUCGCGAGCACGAGAGCAGCAACAACCGCGAAGCUAGUCUAAACUAGUGGAGGGUUGUGUGCAAAGUGCGAAGAAGUAAGAAGAGAGAACGCGGGACGUGCAAAUGGCUAGAGGUAAGGUGCAGAUGAGGCGGAUCGAGAACCCCGUGCACCGUCAGGUCACCUUCUGCAAGCGCAGGGGAGGGCUCCUCAAGAAGGCCAAUGAGUUAUCCGUUCUCUGCGAUGCGGAGAUCGGCGUCAUCAUGUUCUCCGCGAACGGAAAGCUCUACGAGCUCGCCACUAACGGGUUUGUGACUAUCAUUACAACUCCUAUUAUACAUAGAUAAGCUGAUUCUGAUUCCACUGGUUCACUGAUUUCUAUAUGCGGUUCUUGUUUUCGUUCGAGAAUUACAAGAAACAUGCAAAACUUGAUCGAGCGGUACAAGCGAAUCGGUGUGGAAGGCCAAGCGGAGAGCAGCGAAGUGAACCAAUCUCAGGUUCGUGCGAAAAUCGCGUCAUCAUGAUCAUGCAUGCCACUCAAUAAUAAGUCCUUGCAUAACAAUAGUAACAUCACAUUUUGUUUCAGUUUUUUCAAACUAUGCACCGAAUUAAGAACUUAUAAACUAAGAAAACAGUGUGUUAUUUUGGUAGAUUUCUCAAAUGAUCUCUUGCUUUUUUGUUCUGAGUAGUGCGCAAAAUCUACGAUUGAUCAGAAAAAAAGCAAAGUGAGAUAAUAUGCUUAUUGUAGAGGUAUUCGAUCUCUUCCAAUGAAAAGGACAUUUAUUCUAGAGUUGAUAGUUCUCUGUACAUGAUUCCUAGAGAGAACAAAUAGUAUAGUGUGCGAUGAUUCGUAGGCGAUAUCUGUGUUGCUUAAGAAACAAGCUAACACCCACUUAAGCCACAUCUAUGUUACUUUAUAAGGAUCUCAAUUCUCAAAUGUUACUUUUUGGCUCUGCACAUCACAAACAAGCAUCUAUGUAUUUGGCUAUCGGAAAUUUGGUUCACUAAUUAAGAUUCUAAGUGUGAGUUCCUAAGAUAUCUGAGCAUGGCGCUCGAUCAGUUUCUGAGACAGAUAUAAUUGGUUCAUUUAUUUAUACCAAACUAAGGUACAAAAGAUACAUUUUGUAAUGAAUACCGAAGAAAAUAACAUCUGAUCUAGUUUUAUCGACAGCGUACUUAUGUACAUUUUUGUCGCAUCAGGUUGCUGAACAAGAGGUUUUCAUGCUGAAGCAAGAGAUUGACCUGCUUCAGAAAGGUUUGAGGUAAGUAAUACGAAAGCUCGUGUAUGCUCAUGAAUUCGUAUGAUAGGUUGUAUGAGAUUGUAACAGUUUAAGCUAUACUAAUUGCAUCAGCCAAGUUCGCAUGCUCCUUACUAUUUGAAAAGUUGCAUACGCCGUUAAGUUGAUAACAAAGUUUUAAAGUUUAAGUAACCCUUUAUAAUCCAAAAGAGGCGAUGACGGUACUUUGUUUUUGAUGAUCAAAGAACGGUCGAUCAAAAGUACAACACAAGCUUGGGCAAACCCUGUUUCCUUCAUCCGUAAUUUGGCACCGCAGUUUAUUGAAAGCGAGCUAAGUUCAUAGGAGCCAUUAAUUGGUUAGGGAGAGAACAUCGAGAACAUACCAUGUUUCCAAAAAUCAUCCUGCGAAUGACGACAACUUUGAAAACAUUAUACAAAAAGAUAUGAACACAUAUUCUAAAGAAGACAUAAUGAAGCGAAACAUGUAAAGAGAAACCUCUAAGAAGAGCCCAGUACAAAUUUAUGAUACAUUGUAUUUGUUGAACAUAUAUUAAAAACACCGUUCUCUGACAGUUUAAGCUUUCAGAGAAAGACGGCUGUUUCAUAUAACUUAACAUAGUAUCAGAGCACGAUGAGGCAGGUACAUAUAUGGAGACGGAACGGCGGCGCACAUGACAUUCGACGAAUUGCAAGCCGUGGAACGGAACCUCGAAGUUUGGAUAUACAAUAUCCGCUCUACGAAGGCGAGGAUCCUAAAUUUUUUUUUUUUUUUUCCUUUUCUUUUAAUUUUCUUUUCGCUAUCUCAAUAGUUGAGGAUCUAACUGCACACCCUUUUACCAAAGCAGAUACAGAUCAUGGCCCAGGAGAUUCAAAUGCUCAGGAACAAGGUUAGCAGUUCAACACCAAUCCAUUACAUUCCAUCCGCUGUCGAAACCGAAAACUAAAAGCAUCGAGCGACUCAGCUUUUCCGAAAUACCAUAUUAUUAUUCACCGAAUUCGGCGCUUUUUGAUUGAUGCUCCUUUGAUUACACAGGAAGGCAUACUGAAGACCGCGAAUCAAAUCCUCCAAACAAAGGUACUACUCAAGAACAUAAAUAAAAAUUGGCCUUAAAAACACAUUCAAACACAUUCAAAAAAUAGUACACUAGGGAGUUCAAUUCCAAACAAGUUACAUAAACCGGAGAUUAAUGACUAUAAAUUUGAUCAAAAAACCAGUGAUCUGAUAUGUUAUAAACUUUUUUUUUUUUAACUGCGCAGAUAAUCGAGCAGAACGGGCUUUUCGACGUAAGCAUGAUGAUAGCAGAUGCUCCAUACCCACUAACCAUAUCCAACAACCAACCCAAAGUUCAAUAGGAGCCUCCCCUUCAUUAUCUUGUUUUAUAAAUAAUCCAAAACUAAAUUAGUUGCUGUUCACUAAAACUAUUGUAGUGUUCUUGUUUAGAGCAUGUUCUAGGAGUGUAUAUUUAUAUUUAUAUAUACAUAUAUAUAUUUCCCUAGUAUAGUUAUAUUAUUAUUGUUAUGAUUAUUUAAGUUCUUAAGAACUUGUUUUGCAUUUCUUGUGGUGAUUUAUCAGAUUCUGCUACUACUCUUCGCAAAUCUCACACAUGCAAAUGAUUGCUCUAUGUUUAUAUAUGUAUAAUGAAUUUUUUUUUCGCGAACAAAAUGGGAUCAAUUCGAACUCAGGAGGAGUCGGGAGCUUCUGCUCUGAUAUCAUGUGAAACGAUCAUUUUCUCAGAAUGUUGCUGUCGACGACAGCAACAUAUCCCGCGACCUCUAAUUUCUUUUCUAUUAUAAUUCGAGUUCUCGUAGUUAGUUAAAUUGAUAAUUUUGUCAAUUUUCCUGUCAUUUAGGCUCGUGCUUGAACAUGCUACUGAUUAAAUUAAACACAAAAAAAAAAAAGAUGAGCUAAAAAAAACAUAAAGCAUAUUAUUUGACCAAAAAUUAAAAUGGGGAAAAGGAGUGAGGUUUAGGGUUUAUGACAUUGGGCGCUCGUAGUAGCAUCAACGGGUGAGUUACAACUGAAGUCGGCGGCGAGAUUGCUAAGCUUGCCGACUACAUGGGGAGAGUCGGCGACGAUAAAGAUUCCAAUGCCGGAUUCGAUAAAUAUUUAUAUUUGUUUUAAAAAAUAUAUAUAAAUUCGUAAUAUUUUUUUUUAUAAAUUGGUCCCGUAGCUCAGUUGGUUAGAGCGCUGGUCUUAUGAGCCGGAGGUCGCGAGUUCGAGCCUCGCCGGGACCAAAAUUUAAUUUGAAUUUAAAUUAUAAGUUUUAAAUAUUUAAAAUUUGCCAAGAAAUUUCAAUAAAUCUCUGAUUUUUUAAUUAUUAUGCUUAAAUAAUCAAAGUUUAUUUAAAAAUAUUGAAAUGGCGAGACCAAAUUUAAUUUUCAUUUUUAGUUUUAAAUAUUUAAAAUUUGCCAAGAAAUUUCAAUAAAUCUCUAAAUACCUGUUUAAAUAAUCAAAAAUUUAUUUAAAAAUAAUAUUCACUACAUAGAUCAAAUCUACUAAAUAAUUUCAAUAAAUAAAUCUCCAAUUAUGUGUUUUAAAUAUUUAAAGACCAAUUUUAAUUUUAAUUUUAAUUUUUAAAUAUUUAAAAUUUGCCAAGAAAUUUCAAUAAAUCUCUAAUUACAUGUCUAAAUAAUCAAAACUUAUCUAAAAAUAAUAUGUUUGGGGUUCACUACAUAGAUCAAAUUUACUAGAUAAUUUCAAUAAAUCUCCAAUUAAGGGUUUUAAAUAUUUAAAUUAUAUUUAUCUACAAAAUUUAUCUAUACUUAAAAUUUGCCAAGAAAUUUCAAUAAAUCUCUGAUUUAUUUAUUAUGUUUAAAUAAUCAAAAAAAAUUAUUUAAAAAUAUCGAACUGGCGAGACCAAAUUUAAUUUUAAUUUUUAGUUUUAAAUAUUCAAAAUUACCAAGAAAUUUCUAUAAAUCUCUAAAUACCUGUUUAAAUAAUCAAAAAUUAUUUAAAAGUAAUAACACUACGUAGAUCAAAUCUACUAAAUAAUUUCAAUAAAUCCCCAAUUAUGUGUUUUAAAUAUUUAAAGGCCAAAUUUAAUUUUAAUUUUUAGUUUUAAAUAUUUAAAAUUGGCCAAGAAAUUUCAGUAAAUCUCUAAUUACAUGUCUAAAUAAUCAAAACUUAUUUAAAAGUAAUAUGUUUGGGAUUCACUACAUAGAUCAAAUUUACUAGAUAAUUUCGAUAAAUCUCCAAUUAUGGAUUUUAAAUAUUUAAAUUAUAUUUAUCAACAUUUGUCCAUAAAUUAACUUCUUUAUCGUAAUGCAAUUAUUUUUUUUUGAAAAUAAUAUAAUAGCUUAGAACUAAUAAAUAAUUCAAUUUAUUACUUCACUAGUUUAAAUUUAAUUACUUCACUAUUUAUUAAAAAAAUUGCUUCACUAUUUUUCAUAAAUUAACUUCUUUCUCAUGAUCCAAUUAAUAUAUUUUUGGAAAAAAAAUAGAGUAGCUUAAAAGUAAAUAAAUAAUUUAAUUUAUAUUUUUCUUUGCCCCAUUUAAUUAACUUCUUAUCAUAUUUUGUAGAAAUAAAUAUGAAAAGCAUAAUAAGAAUAUACGUGCUAUUCGAUAUGUUUACAUAGAUAUGAAAUUAUUCCUAAAAAUUAAUGGUUAGGGCCUAAAGUAAAAAAUUGCGAAAGUUUAGGGACCAAUAUUACAAUUAUUCAGAAACAAAUAGUUGUUUUUUUUAGGGAUAUAUGUGCAAAAAUUACUCUGUGUUUUCAGUAGUUGCACACAGCUUGGAAAAAUCCCAACUUUUCGCCCGCCCCCAAACGCCGCAAUAAAAAAGGCGGGGGCGGGAGCGAGAGCGCGCGCGCGCGGGAAAGGAUGCGGUUCGCGGUGACGAAGGCGUGUGGCGGGGGCGGGAAGGCGCGCGCCGGCGCCCUCUACGUCGGCGGCGGCGGCGGUGGCGGCGCCGCCGUGGUGGAGACCCCGUCGCUCCUCCUCUCCACGCGGAAGGGCCUCCCCGCCUUCGUCUCCCGGGAUCUCCUCUCCACCCUCCCAUCCCCCGAUUCCCACCUCCUCCACGUGAGUCCUAUCCACUUGUAAGAGACCCCCCUCUCUCUCUCUCUCUCUCGCUCUCUCUCUAGAGGUGUGCUUUGAAGGUGUUCGACUAAAUGCCUCUUAGUAAAAAGUUGGUGGUGUGUGGAUGUGUGAUCUCCCUUUUGUUUGUUUCACUCCAAUAUUACUCGUUCUUUGGUAAAAAUGGCUCCUUUAUAUGUCACCUUCUUUGUGCUAUGCUACUAUGACGAUUCAGAGAAGUGUUGAUUCUUUGCAUGCGCGCCCAGGCAAAUAUGUAAAAUUGUGCAAAUUCCCCUUCGAAGUUUGCUAUUUUCACUUGUUGUAUCCGUGAAAACCUUGGUUAUAUAAAGAUUAUCCUGGCCGGGGCGCGUGUGCAAAUCAACAACGUUUUUCGGUAUACUUGGAUAAUUACUUACCUUGCAGUGUUAUUUGCACAAUGUUGCGUAUUUCCGAGGGCAUUUAUGCGAAAUUCUCUUUAGAGAAUAUCCUGUGCAACACUUGUUCACUGCUAUCAAUGCCAUUCCUAUCUGUGUCAUUUGUUACUUUUCUUAUUGCAAUUUUGUUUCCUGCGAUCAUCGAAAUUGUCAAAUGCGUUUUGCUAAGAAUUAUUGUCUUUGCGACUCGCAAUUCGAACCCAUUAGUUGCAUUACACUGUCUUGACAUGUUUAUCUUUCAAAAUCAUACCUUUUUUUUGGUUUUUUCCAAGCAUAUUUUAUUGCGCAGAUGCAAUUCUUAGAUUUCUACACUUACUUUCUUCUAACUGUUUGAGAUAUAUGUAUGCAGCAUUGAGUGCCCUUCAUCGAAAACUAUUUCAAAUAUUGGUGGUUUGCAUCAGAUGCUAGGUUUACAAGAACAUAUCUUAGUAGCCGCAGCGAGUGAUUCGGUUGAGAGUCUACCGGAAAGCGAAGCCUCCAACAAACUUGGAGCAUCAUUCGAAACACCAUCCGGUCGCCGAUUGGUAGUCCUUUAAAUGGUUUUUGUCAGCUCGAAUCACCUUGCUUUUUCAUAUUUUGCAUUUUCGCUAAAUUUGGUUAUCACCUUUCUUUGCUAGGUCAAACCUUCAGAAUACAUGCAAAUGAUUACUUCCAUGAAGCCUAACUUGUGGGCAAGUUUGGCGGAUGAGGUGCCCGCAUGGGUUACUGAGAAGCGGAAUAGAAUUUCUGUUGAUAGAACGCUACGCUGGCUCGAUGAUUGCCUUGCUGUGGACUUGGUGGGUGACAAUUCGACAUGUUUUGUAGCCUGUGGCUUUUAAAAUGUUGCUUUAGUUAGAGAACUCAAUUUAUGCGGAAUUACGGAAAGUGAGAAGCUUCAUGUAUUUUGAUAUAAAGCACAAUGGAUAUUCCGAAGUUGAUGAAUUCUAUGUGCUAUUAUUACUUUUUCAGUUUUUCAGUAAUGUUUUCUUGGUUGUUUGAUUAAAACUAUCCGAGUUCACUAAUAUUUGCAAUUUGUGAUGGUAAGGAAGCUGGGAAAAACACGUUGGGCGCUGUUGUUGGAGGAUCCAAUAUAGAUGAGCGGAAGCGUUGUGCAACUGAAGCGUCGCUACGAAAUGUAGCAGGUAUUCUAAUUUUCAAGUUUGUGCUUAUGGCAUGGGCCAGACCUUUUCUUUUUUCAGGCCUUUUCAAUUUUAGUAGUUUGGUGGUCCUUAUUAGUGCAUUUCAACGAAUAUAAAUAGCGAAAUAUGAUGAAAUUGCGGGUUAACUAUUCAAAAUUAAUUUUGCUUAUGUGAUGAGAUUAGUAACAAAUAAUGAGUGGAUAUUAUAGAUCCACUUACUGCAAUCAUUUGUUUGGGUGAUGGAACUUGCUGAAUUCAAGGAUUAGUUAUGAGAAAUUGUGGUAUUUCCUUUUUUUUUUUUUUAACUGUCAAUUAACUAGAAAGAAUUAUUUGAUAAAAGUAUUUGGAAAAAUAUGUGCAGAUUGUUUGAAUGUGCGAAUCUGAGCUUCCUUGAUACAAUUACAUGACGGAAUUUGAUAAAAUUUAUGAUUAUUUUUUUUUUCAAAUAAUUGAUUUUCUAACUUAAUACCUAUUUUCAUUAACUACAAAUAGUAAUACAAGUUGGUUUAAAUUAGCAAAAAUUGUGGGACAAUCUUUUAGAAAUAUUUAGUUUAUUUUGUGCUAAAAUUGAGCUGGUAUGGUUUUAUGAAACUAACUGUAGCUGGUGUAGAUAGGAACUUUGAUAUAAAGUUCUUUCAUAAGCACCGUGAGUCCAGUGCUUCCACUUUUUCUCAUGUUGGAUUUGGAUUCAGAUCCCUUCGGAAAAGUAGAAGCACUGGCCAGGGGUUGCUAGAAAAAGAAUUUUCUUAUCCUUAGUUUCUUCUUUCAUAAUUUCAGUUUUCUAAGAACCCAUUUAGUACUUUAGCCAUUCUAGGAAUCCUAUCUCGGAUGCUGGCGAAUUGAGCUGUUUAAUAAUUUACUACAGGUUUCUGGAUUGGAGGGUUUGGCCUGGGAGAGAGUAUGGAAGAACGGUUGGCUUUGCUUAAUGCUGUUACGGUAAGUGACUGAACCAUUACUCGGUCUACAUUUGAUUGGUAUUGGGAUUAUUCAACUUUUCAUCUGCUAUCUAUUGCAAAUGUAAAAUCUCAUCGUUUUUUACUCCAAGGAUUCUGUGGUGUUAAUUGUGAAUUUGGAUUGUUUAUUUAUUCAUUAUUUUUUAAAUAAUCUUUUCAUGGCUGUAGAAAAAUCUAAAGUUGGUUUCUCUUCUUUUAGGAUUGCUUACCAGAAGAAAAACUGCGCUAUGUAUCUAGACUUUCGCUUCCAGGUACUGAUGUUACUUUGUUUCUCCAACUAAUGCUUUUAGUCUCGAUGCAAAAGUCGGUUUGAUGUCGCCUCAUUUGUCCUCCUAGAUUUCUACCUUGGUUCAGUUAACAAAUGCUGAGGUCAAUUUUAUGAAAAACAAAUGAAAAAAAGGAGAAAAAGAAGUGCUGGUGUCAUUUUCAUUUUUUAUUUGGUUAAUUGUUUUUAAUUCAUGAUCCCCUCUUACAGAAGAGGUCUUGCAGGGUGUGGCUGCCGGGAUUGAUCUCUUCGACUCCACGUACGGAACGAACAUAAUUUUACUACUUUUUCUUACACCUCAUCUUUUCCUUACAGACAAAAUACACAUUAUGCAAUUGCAGAUACAUCUACCAUCUUACUCUUGGAGGGUUCGCACUUGUGUUUCCUCUCGACAUUGUCGAGAGAGACAAUUGGGAUUCUCGGACGGAUAUUGAAGGUGCGGAUUGCACAAAGAUAAACCUACGGGCAACGAUCUACAGGUGAUUAAUUUAUAUCAAUUCUUAAUUUUAUUCUCUUCACAACGAUGAUUCUACCCAAAAUCCUAGUGCCCGCUCUUUCGCGUUUAGCAUGAAACUGAUCUAUUGUCCGAAAUUUCUUUAAAACCUUUCUCUUAGAGAAAGCACACCUUACUGUGGAGCGAAGUUUGUCUAUGUGGCCCGGAUGUUAUAUCACCAUUGACUUCGCAUCUCGGAGCCAAAAAUAUUGGGAAAUGUAAGUUUAAUAUGCAAUCUCAUAGUUAUUAUGCACCGUAUUUUCUUUCUACAGGAAAGAUACCUCGCCAAUUGUCGAUCGUUGUGGCUGCUUCACAUGCCAGAAUCACACUCGAGCUUACAUUAAUCACCUGCUUAACGUCCACGAAAUGUUGGCUCAGAUCUUACUGGAAAUGUAAGCCGUCGUUUUGUUUCUUUCCCUAAUCUAAUCUCUAUAACAACUAUAAAAAGAAAAUUUUGGGGCCUGCUGAGCCCCGCCAUUUAGCUGUAGGAAACUACCAACAUUUACAUCAUAUAUUCUCACUCGCGCUAUUGUACGCAGACACAAUACUCACCACUAUCUCGGAUUUUUCCGCUUGAUGAGAGAAGCAAUCAAGGGAGGGAAGUUUGAGCUGUUCCGCCAACGGUUCAUAAAGAGGCGGCGUGCUUUCCUAACUGCAGAGGCGCCGUGCUCGUUAUAACCUGUCGUGGAUUUCGCUUCACAUUGGAGUGAUUUGUAAUCUCCAUUUUCGCGAUUACUAAAACUGGGGAUCUGUUCAAAAACUGCAGUUGUUUCGAUCUUUCGAAGCGAUAGAGGGAAGGAUACAAAUUUCAGAUUCUGCUAACUGGAGAAUAUUUGACACUCCGUCGAAUUCGCGCGCGAGUUCGUGCCUGUGAUUGUAUUUUUCCCUUGCAUUGUGGAUUUUCUAAUGCUAACCUUGCAAUUGCCCCCCUUAAUCCAAUGACAUUAAGCUUCUGUGAUACGUGGCAGAGCUCCAAAAGGUUAGAUGUUCUACGAAAGUGAGAAAGUGCAAAAUUUUCUGCGUCACCAUGUUGAAGGAAAACAAAUGUUGAAAAUUUAUUUCGUAGCCAUAUGGUAUUAAAAUAAUGGGAUAAUAUCAAAUAUAUCUCUCAACACUUCUGAAAUAUUUUAUAUAUAUAUAUAUAUAUUUUUUGUUUCAAAUAUAUUUUUCGUAUAUUUUUCUAUUAUUCAAAAAUAAUUUCGCUGGGGUUAAACCAACAUUAAAUUUUUACCGGAAUUGAAAAAAAAAUUAAAUUAUCUCUUUUGUCCCUAACUUAAGGAUAAAUAAGAGAAGUUGGUAACAGUAGAAGGGACAGUAAUUUUACAGAGAUGAUGGAUGUUCCUAACAGUUCAUUAAUAGAAUUUAAUUGUAAAAAUAUAUUUAAAAUAAUUUGGAAUGUUGAAAGGAUAUUUUUUUCAAUUACUAGCUUUUUAAGAGCGAUAAAUAAGAAAGUUGAAAAAUUUUAAGGAAUAUAUAAGCAAUUGCUCCUAAAAUAAUUUGUUCAAAAUUUAUUUUGUUUGAGAUUCCUAAGAUAGUUCAAAAUUCAUAAGAUUGGCAUGAAAAAUAUAAUAAAUUUUUUAAAAAAUCAUUUUACACAUCAAAUGUCUACUUCAGUCAUCAUCAUUGAGCUUUAUUUUGCACUUAUUUAACUUGUUACUUGGGCACCACCUUCUUACUCCAUUACUCUUGCAAAUUAAUCAUUUUAUAAUAUCUAAACCCCCACAACUAUAACUUUAUAUAAUCUUGAGCACUUGUGAGCCAUUUUAUAUUAGAUUUUAAAAAAACCUACAAAUAUUUUACUAUUGCCAACCAUUUAAAUAUGUACUCUUUUUUUUAAUGAAUCUUUGUAGUUUUAUAGCAACAAUGCUUAGUCCUCUGAAAUCCACCUUUGUAUUGACUUAGUGUAAUUAGUUUAAACAAAGACAGAUUACGUUUUUUUUCGAAUUCAGAACCUUUUACUCUGGUACUAUGUUAUUCUUCUAAAACAUAAAUUAACACUUUCUCGUAACGAACAGACCGUCCCUAGAGCAAGUACAAAGGGCUUGGUGGUUGGUACUCGAGACCUAAGUUCGAAUUCUAGUUGAUUCACAUUUUCAGCUAAUUUUAUUUUUAAAUAAAAUAAACGAAGCAGGUAGCGUGCUACCUAUCUCCCAAAAAAAAAAAAACACUUCCUCCUAAGAACCAACCGCACCUAAUGCAGUUCGCUAAGUGCUCAGUAGUUGAUAUCCGACAUCUUAAGUUUGAACCCUAUUGCUUCACAUUUCUAAGUGAGUUCAAUUCUAAAAAAAACUGCACGAAAAAAACCCUUCUGUUUGAUAUCAUGUACCAGUUAUGUAAAAUAAUUAUCAUUCUCUAAAAGUUUAAAUUAACAAAUCUAAAACUUUAAAUAUCAUAAAUGUCCCUCCAAAAUCUAAAAGUUUACAAAUACAUCCUUAAUCAUCCAAAACUAUCACUAACACUCCUAUAAACCUCAAUUUGGAGAAACUAUCACUAACACUCCUAUAAACCUCAAUUUGGAGGGGUAUCUAUGAAAUUACACUCCCCCCAAAAAAAAAAAAACUAACAGUUACAGAGGGCACUUUCAAAACUCAAUGUAGUUGAGGGGCCUUCACACAUUUUUACCAACUCAUCAUCAAUCAACCACGCAUCAACGGUCCAAAAUAACUCCUACCCCUCUUCUUUUUAACAAAAUAAGUCCAAAUUACACAAAUCUUACUAUAAAUAUUCACUUUUUUUACUUUUUUUUUUCUGACUUUCAAAACCUAUAUUUUACUUUUUUAAAAAAAUUUAAAAAUAUUUUCAGGGAAUACUGUAUUAAUGGAGGAGUGCAAAAUAAUCAAAUUACCCCUUUUUUUUUAUAAAAUAAAUUUUUAAUAAAUUCUUAUUAUUUUAAUAAAUAUUUUUGAUAUAAAUUAUAAAAAAUAGACGGAAUAGUGAUGAACCCAGAAGAGAAAGGGACAAAAUAUAACUUGAAAUGAUAAUGGGUAAAAUGUAUGUUUUUAAAAAUUGGAGAAAAAAAAAUUAAAAAAAUAGAUAUUUAUAAAGGAGCUUNAAAGACUUAAUUAAGAGGGAAAAUAAACUUGGCAACAUCGAUCUACUACUUUUUAGAGUAUGAAAGCAAAGAAAAACUGUGCAAAGAUUUCUCUUCUUGCAUCACUAUGGACACCAUGGACUCUCUCUCUCUCUCUCUCUCUCUCUCUCUCUCUCUCUCUCUCUCUCUCUCUCUCUCUCUACACCCCUCUCUCUCUCUCUCUCUACACCUCUCUCUCUCUCUCUCUCUCUCUCUCUCUCUAAACCCUUCGAUUCCCCCUUUUUUUUAGCAAAGUAGAAGAAUCCUAUAAUCCCUCUCCUCUUCCCAUUUCUCUCUCUCUCUGUUUCUCUCCUCCACGUCUUUUUUGGAUAGUUUAAUUACUUAAUUUAUCUCCAAAAUUUGAGAAAAAAUGGACCUAAUUUUGCUGUUUUUGUCCUCGUUUCGAUCAGCUUUGUUGGUCGCCUCCGCGAGUUGCUCCGCCCCUGUUCGCAGAAAAUAGAAAGGUGGGAUUUUUGGUUGGUCGGAACCCUCGUUUCCGACGCAAAGGUGGGAUUUUGAUCUCGCUGCGACGAUUUUCGUCGAGUUUGUGAUGCGGGUUUUGGUCUAAUUAGGGUUUCGAUCGGCGUUCCGGGGGAAAUUUGAGUGUUUUUGUGGAAUGGUGUUUUGAGGGCGCUCGAUUUUGAUUGAGAAAAUUAGGGAAAAAGGAGUGGGAUUGGGGAAGGGGGAGGGGGGAGAGUUUGUGAAUUGUUCAUCUUAUGGGUUGCAUUUGUUCUAAAGGGAUCGCCACCGAGGAGAAUGUCGAGACCCUGCGAAAGGCCUCCAUCUCGAGCAAAUCGUUGAAGCGAUUCGUUACUCUAUCGAAGAAAGGGGAGGCAAUUGUGCCGAGCUCCGAUGCACCGGUUAUAGUCGAUGGUGGGGGAACACUUAGGGUUAACUCGAAGCCGAAGGAAAAUGGGGUGGUCCUGAUUCCUGUGACCGUCGAUGCGGCGGAGAAGAAAAAGGCGGGGGCGGUGGCGGCAGCGGCCACGGCCGAGAAUAGGGCGAGGAAGCCAGUGGGACAUCAUAGAAGGGCCACCGUCGAUGUCGGUGCCAACGGGACAGAGGAUGACAACGCGAGGGUCGGCGACGCGGAGCCCAAUUUGGGGAUCGGCGGAGUGCCCAACGGGUUCUCGGGGGAGCACGCGAUCGCCGGUUGGCCUUCUUGGCUCACGGCGGUGGCCGGGGAGGCCGUGAAAGGGUGGCUUCCGCGAAGAGCGGAUUCUUUCGAGAAAUUGGACAAGGUAAUCUUUUGGAGGGGUUUAUUGCAAAUUUAGUGCCUGAAAUUUGAUUCAGAUUUCAAUUUCGUCGUCUUUACUAUGUUGUGACAAUGUGUGAAUUUCAUGUUUAAUCUAACAUGAUUCUAUUGUUUUGAGGUUUCCUUCUGUUUGAUUAAAGAAAUAUUGGAAUAUGAUUCUAUUGUUUUGUUAUUCAGAAAAUGAACAUAAGUAAUCUGGUAAUGAUGGUGAUGGUAUUGAUGACGACGACGACGACGAUGAUGCAAUAUUAACAUGAACAACACUAUUCUAUGACAUUUUAGUGCUAACACCUAGACAUUGAUAUGAAAAACUUUUGCAGAUUGGGCAAGGAACUUAUAGUAAUGUAUAUAGAGCCCGUGAUCUUGAAACCAGUAAGGUAGUCGCCCUCAAGAAAGUUCGGUUUGUCAAUAUGGAUCCAGAAAGUGUUCGAUUUAUGGCUAGAGAAAUCCAUAUACUGCGGAGACUCGACCACCCGAACGUUAUAAAACUUGAAGGCAUAGUAACAUCUCGGAUGUCGAAUAGUUUGUAUCUUGUCUUCGAAUACAUGGAGCACGAUCUUGCUGGGCUCGCGGCAACUCCAGGUCUUAAGUUCACCGAGCCGCAGGUACAUGAUCUGAUAACACCUUAAAAUUCUAGUAUGGCUAUAUAAUGUAGGAAACCAUCUAUAGAUGUAGCGACAGGUGAGCCGGGUGGCAAGAACCUGACACAACCUGUUACUGUAGUUCUUUAAUCAUUCCAUAAUACUUAUAAAUACCAAAUUUUUUUAUGUAAAUAUCAGGUCAAGUGUUACAUGCAACAACUACUUCGAGGACUCGAUCACUGCCACAGUCGUGGAGUACUACAUCGAGAUAUCAAGGGCUCGAAUCUUUUGAUCGAUAAUAAUGGCAACCUUAGAAUAGCGGACUUUGGCCUCGCGACAUUUUUCAAUCCUGAUCAGAAGCAGCCAUUGACGAGUAGAGUUGUCACGCUGUGGUAUCGACCUCCCGAGCUUUUGUUGGGUGCCACGGAGUAUGGCGUAGCGGUUGAUUUGUGGAGUACGGGUUGCAUCCUCGCAGAAUUGCUUGCUGGAAAGCCAAUCAUGCCAGGACGAACUGAGGUAUAGAGCAUUCUUCAAGCUUUGAUUAAUGGCAUUUACGAAUUUCACAUAUAUGAUACGAUAGAGUCCUCAUGUAGUCGCAUUUGUUCAUGGGUAGUGACAUCGUUAGACAGAAAUUGUUACUGACAGGUCAUUGUUUACUAUAUAGAAGUUGUUGGGCCAAAUGAACCUACUCUGUCAAUAAUAAUUUUAGAUUUGCCGAUAUCGGUAGCCUCCUGCCGUUCAUGCCUUGCAAAUAAUGAAUGUUCAUAGUCGUCCUAUUUAUGGUUUCAUUUUCGUUCUUCUUUGGAUUAGAUACUUCUUCCUCCACAGAGGCGCAGACAAAAACUCAGUGAACUCAGUUUCGCUGAACAAUUUUUCAUAAAGAUGUAGUUUAUGUAAUGAGAAUGUGCGUCAAGGAAGAUUCCCGUUACUGAUAGACAAUAUAAGUUGCAUCGCUGCUCAUCCUUUUAGCAUUCAUUUUAAUAUGGUACGGAAUCUUUCAAAAUAGGGGCCCUAACCUGUGCUUUAAUCUUUCGAUGAAAUUCCUUCCUAAGAUUAGACCAGUUUAUUAACAUAAUAUUUAGUUGUGGACCGAGCUGAAACCUAAAAGGAGUGGAGAUCUCUUAAAAGUGUAGAUAGUUCCUGUUUUAUCUAAAAUUUGACUAAACGUUUCCACCAAUUGGCUUUGUUGACUGACUUGUUUUCCUACGCACCGUCUAGGUGGAGCAACUCCACAAGAUUUUCAAGCUGUGUGGAUCACCAUCAGAGGAGUAUUGGAAGAAAUCAAAGUUGCCGCAUGCAACUAUUUUCAAACCUCAACACCAAUACAGGCGCUGUUUCGCCGAGACGUUCAAGGAUUUCCCUCCUCCGGCUUUAGCUCUCUUAGAUUCUCUACUUGCAAUCGAACCAGCUGCUCGGGGAACAGCAGCUUCAGCUCUUCAGAGCGAAGUAUGUUUUUGACUCUUGUGAUAAAUUUCAUGCCUUCUUUCUAGACUAUUUGAAUAUUUUUCCCUUAAACAAUGGAGAUGCGAUACUUUCCGUGAGCAUGCUAGGAAACAAAACUAAUUAGUAUUCUUUGCUUUCUAAACUUAAAAAGUAAAUUCUAUCAUCUGUUAAAGAGGAGAAUGGUUUUGCAAUAUUCUUCUUUCUCAUGCUCAUAUUUUUCACUUGAGUUUUUUUGUCUCCAUUUUUAACUGAUAACUAGUUAAAAAUUUUGUUAGUUUUUCAGAACAAAGCCGUAUGCAUGUGAUACCUCGAGUUUGCCUAAAUACCCACCAAGCAAGGAGUAUGAUGCGAAGCUUCGCGAUGAAGAAGUUAGAAGGUAUUUUUCUCGAAAUAUUGCGUUUAACUAUAUUUGCUAUCAUUAGGACACACUUACAUAUUUUCUUCUAAUUAUAAUAGAAAUUAUAGUGUUCCAUGGUUCUUAAAUUAUUUACCAUGUGUUUUUGUCCUUACAGGCAAAAGGCGGCAGCUAUUAAUGGCCGGGGAGCUGAAUCUAUAAAGCCGAGGCGAAAAGAAUCUAAAGCAAAUCCAGUUCCCAAUGCCAAUGCAGAGCUUCAGGUAAUCCUAAAUGUAGUUUUAUGAGGUUGACACUUAUUUUUGGUGUUUGCAUACAAAAAUCUCAUUGUGAAGAAGAUUUAUCAAUUCUUAAGAAGUGCACAUGAUUUUCCAUCGUUUAUGCAAUCAAUUUUAGCUCGUGCCAAACUUAUGUGUCUAUUUUCUUUUUUUACGCUUCCAGAAGCGACAUGUACAGGCAAAUCCAAAAAGCAGGAGUGUGAAGUAUAGCCCACUGGAGGAUAGCGGAGCCGGGUUCCCCAUCGAGCCCCCCGGACUACCCGCAGCUAUGCACACGGCUCAAUUCGGAUCAACAUGGUAUAAUAAGAAGGGUAAUCACGAUGAUCAUCGCGGAGUUCCGGAGCGCACGUAUAGCUCCGUUAGGGUCGCAAAUGGCCCUCAGCUAAAGACACAACGAUCCUAUAAGCCUCAAGCCGGUGGGACCGACUUGCACAGCUUAUCGGUUUCGGCUGCGGGGAGAAGCACUGCUCACCCGAGAUACAAUCGGCUCGAUAUCGUAGAGUCCUCGGAGAAGCAUGUGCUCGAUCGGCCUGCCUCUUCUCACAAGAAAGAUUUAGGAGUCAAGGACUCGGCAGUGGUAACUACUUACUUAAACUGUUGUUUAUUAUCACAUUGGCAUUUUGUUAAGGCACUUGCGACGCAUUUGCGCAUUCUCAGUUUGUGAUGCUUAAUGUGGUUACCGUUAUUGGCAAAUUCAGGGUUACGGAGGCAAGAUCAAACGAAUCCAUUACUCGGGGCCAUUGAUGCCCCCGGGAGGGAACGUCGAAGACAUGCUUAAGGAGCAUGAGCGGCAGAUCCAACAGGCUGUGCGCAAAGCUCGCCUAGGCAAAGACAAGACGAACAAGUAGCUUACAUUGAGAAAAGCUGCUUGCAAAAGCACUUUUUUGCAACAAACAGCAUCUACUGAGAAGGGUUUACAGACGCAGAAUCGACUCGCUUAUGUUUACAGCAAAACGGAGAAAAAUGCAGCUGAGUUCUUCGCGGCACGAGAACUAUGUAGAGCACGAAAUGAGGAGAUGAUUUCCGAAAGUAAUUUUUGUGAAUUAUGUAUACCUCUUACAAAGCCUUGUAAAUUAAACCCAUCACUAUGAAUGUAUACCUUGUGAGUUGGCAACUUUUAGUGGAACUGCCGGGAAAAUCGCUUUCUAAGGAAGCUGUUCCGGCAUUUGUUGGAGUGUACGGAUGUGCUGAUGUAAAGAAAGGAAUUGCUUGUCGAGAGGCGUAAAAAAUGCGAAAGUCUCUAUGCAAUUUUAAGAACAACAUAUGCAAGGGAUUUGAGCUUUUAGGGUUCUGAGUGAAUGUAAAUGCUUGUUGUAAAAUGUGUAUUAUUUGGAUUACCUCUUAUUCCUGUUUUGAAUGUGCAUCUUCAUACACUAUAAAGUUAUUAUUCUUAAUUUUUGUAAUCUUAAAUAUGAAGCAGGAUUGAUUAUUGGGAAAGAUAUAGUUGUUAUUGUAAAAUAGAAGAUCUACUUCACUCAAAAGAAAAUGAACACUUGAUCUUUAUAUUUUUGAGGUCUAGUUGUCUCGGUUCUGUAGCUAAGUUCAUCUUCUUAGUGAAAGAAUCAGUAGCAUACUAUAUUUUCUCCAAAAAAAAGAAAAAAAAAAAAGCCCUUCAAAUUGUAUAAAUGCUACUCUUUUUUAUCAUAAUCUUAAUAUAAUUCAGUAUCCUGCAACAUUUCAUUUCACUUCUUCUAGUAAUGUUUAAAUAAUUCUGUUUUGUUGGGGAACAACUGUUUAAACAAAUUCUCGAUUGUAUCCUACAAAAUUGAUAUUUUGGGUAAGACAAUAUCAGAGUCAGUUCUAAGCCACUUCUGUUUUAAGAGAUCGGUCAUUUUAUGGCACAUAUUUAUCUACUAUCCUGCUAUUUUUCUUAGUUCUCUCUUUAGUCAAUUACUGACCGUCCUUAGUGCAAGUGGCAAUUGUUUUAUAUUUUCAUUAAAGUUUAUUUCUUAAAAAAAAAAAAAACAAACGAAGCGAGUAGCAUUUUGCAUUUCUCUCUCAAAAAAAAAACUUUUUAGUCAAUCCGCGUGGCACGGUUCAUCUGAUAUCCACUAUGCGCAUAAAUAGACGAUUUAAGGUAGAUUCUGUACCAUUUCCUACUAGAUCAAUCUUUAGAUUACCAACAUCAAGGAGAUAACCAUAGAUUAAUCACUAAUGAAGUACAUAAAACACAAUAUGAACAUACUUUACAUAGAUUACUUAUGAAGUACAUAAAACAAUAUUAACACACUUUAUGCACCCUUUUCAGUUGAAAACUUCAGAGUCAUAACAAAGUACUAGCAACAUCUUUAAGAACCAUAAAACUAACACAGGAUAUUUUCACAGAAAAAGAAAAAAAAAAGAAGAAGAGAUCCAAGUUCGAAUCCUAGUUGAUUCACAUUUUCAGCUAAGUUUAUUCCUAAGUGAAAUAAACGAAACGGGUAGCGUGCUACCUAUCUCUCUCUCAAAAAAAAAAAAGAAAAAAAAAGAAAGAAGUUUCAAUCCAAUCCCGGAGGACGAAACAACGGGAGCGGCGGUGGGAAAGGGUACGGCGGUAACGGCACCGGCGGUAGGGGCUCGACAUAGCUGCAGAAUCCGUAGAGACAAAAAUAUCCGAACGGACAACGGCGGUUACACUUGCCGCAGUGGAACCGACAACGGCGGUUACACUCGCCGCAGUGGAACGGACUUGUCAUAACGUUCCUGCAGAAUCCGCCGUAGCAUCUCCACCGGAACGGGCACUGGACGCCGCAGAACCUGCAGUUGUUCGGGUCCGACCGCAGGUCGACGCAGCGGUCGCUGCAGGUAUGUAUAGUCACAACUUCAGCAUUCGGACGCGAAUUCAGAGAAAUAUUCGAGCAAUCAACAUGUUGAGAACUUUACAGAACUUAGUGUGAACUAUGAAUCAUUUUGAUUUGCUUAUUCGGCCAUUUAGUUUAUUUAAUUUGAGUCGGUCAAUAACACUUUAACUUCAAAAUUAGAAAGCGAUGGAAUUAAUCAGCAUAUUUCAUACAAUUCUCACAACUAUAAAUUUAUUAAAGUAAUUAAUUAAUUUAAAUAAACUGAAAAGCUGGGUAGCCGUUUCAAAUUGAUGCAUAGUUUGGAUAAGUUUUGUAUAUUUUCACCAAAAGGCAUUGGAAAAUACUAAGAUUGUACCUGCAACAAAGUCGCGGUGUGAAGGUUGGUAGCCCCGCCCAGCAAAUCCACGGUCGGUACCUACACCGGGACUCCCUCGGCCUCUGACCGCCACCCCAUCGAGCCAGGGGGGCGUGACGGUCACGACAGCGACAGCGGCAGCAGCAAUGGUGUUGUUCAUGUGCCGCCUGUCACGGACAAAUAUUUUCCGCUGACUUCUCUUUGACAGUGGCCCAACUUCGCUAGCGGAGCGGAUCGUUAAAGAGACCCAAACCCAACCCGCUGUGGGGAGACGAAGGGUUUUGUAAUCUCUCCCAUCAAUGAUGGAAGCUCAAGGGUUAUGAAACUACCAAAAGUUAAUAGGGUGACUCUUGGGCUUUUGGCUCACUAUGAGGGUGAGUUAAUGUGUGUCAUAAUGAGAGAGUUAGUGUGUGUCUAGGUUCAUUGUAUCUAGGAACAUAUAAGUAGUGGAGUUUGGCUAAGGUCAAAACACACAAGAGAGAGUGUGUAUGUGAGUUGUAAUUCUCAUUUUCUAAGUAGUGUAGUACUUAACUUUUUGAGAGAACCUCUGUCUUUUUUUCUUGUGUCAUUCCUUUUGCAUACUUAGUCGUAGGACGCGAAGGUCCGGACUAGCAACAGGGACGAAGGCUUGCCCAUCUUCGAGCAGGAAGGUGGGCGCCGCACGGGCUUUGCGAACAAAAACGCUAAGGCCGUGACACGCCGCUCUACUUUUUGUUCAUUGUCGUCGUCGUCGUCAUCAUCAUCUUCUUUUCUUUCUUCUGCGACGAUGUCGCGGGACGCAACAUGUGUAACGUGUUGCUUCUAACAAGUACACCAUUGAAACACAUACUACCAUAAUAGUAAAGAUCACUAAUAAGAGGGAGAGUUUUGGAACCCAUUUUGUAUAUAAGUUUUGGUACAAAAUAUUGGUGGUUUGAAACGGGUGGCGGGGAAUUUAAAUACGGGGGAAAGGAAUCGACCGUUACGUAUUAUUUCCCGCGCAAAAAACGGGUGGCUUCAUGCUCUCCUCGGAGUGUGAAUUAGGUGUUAGACUUGUGACCACAUAUAGAAAAGUUAAAAAUAGGGAAAACUUCAAAAACCCCCCGUGGUUUCACACUUUCUUACUUGAGUACCACAUGAUUUAAAGUGUAUCAAUUUGGUGCCAUAUGGUUUCAAUUUUAUCUUUUCGGCAACUUUUUCGUUAAUAUUUCGUUAAAUUAUAUACAAAAAACUUCAGAUACCCACCUAGGUUUAUCGUAUAUUCAUUUUAGUACCUUUUAAUUUUAACUUUGUUACUGAUUUAAGAAAAAAAAAUAGUGAAAUUGAUAAUAAGAAGAGAAAAAUGAAACCGCAUGGCACCAAAUUGAUACACUUUAAACUACAGGGUGCUAAAGUGAGAAAGUGUGAAAUCACAUAGGUGGGUUUUUAAAGUUUCCCCUUAAAAAUAUAUAACAGAUAAUUUAUUAAUUUUUUAAAAUCAAAAGAUUUUAAUUUUUAUACAGAACAUUGUAGUCCCCACGUCUAAUAGGUCAAAAUUAUUAAUCAUCUAAAAAAUUUCUGUAAACACAUGGAAUAGAAUAAAUAUUCCUACAAAAUUUAACUUUUCAUAUUUAUCCCUACAAAUUCUAAUAUUUUCAAACAUACCAAUGGAGUUAGAAUCUGUUAGAAAAAAUAUAGUUAAUCAUAAUUAAAAUACUUAAACUUAUUUAUUGAAUAAGAUAAAUUGAUAUUUUUAUCCCUUUAUAUUAUUUGUGAUGAUAGAAAAAAAAAAAGAAGAUGAUCGUUGAAAAUUUUUAAAAGAAUAUUUCUACAUAAUUCUACAGAGAACCUUUGAACUUUAGAUCUUUUGCAAUUAGGUGCCUGAACUUUCAGUUUUGGUAACUAUAUCUCCUAAAUUUUAUCAAAUUGUUCAGUUGAUCACUCCACUCAAGUGAACUUGUUAUUAAUUACAAAGCUAUUUUCUGAUCGUAUGUCAUAUAUAUAAUUUUAUUAAACUUCCAAAUAUAAAGAAAUCUAUUUUUUUUCCAAUUUCGAUAAUUUAGUAUAACGAUCAAAGAAUAAGUUGAACCGAACUUUAAUUUUUAUUAAGGUUUUACAUGUUAGAAUACAAGAAAAGGAAAGAAUUUUGUGCCUUAAAGCUUCGUAAACCAUAUGCAAUACAUAGGUCCAAAACAGUUGAAUAAUUAGUAAUUUUAAUUGAAAGAAAAGAUUUAUUAAACUAUUUGACAAAGUUUAAGAGAUCUAAUUUUUAAGGAUAAAUUACACUUUUGGUCCUCAAACUAUGACGCGUGUGACAAUUCAGUCCUCAAAUAUUAAUUCUAGCCAUUUCUAGCUUGACUUUUCUGAAUUAUUGCUAUCAAAUCUCACAACCUAAUUUUUGACUAAAUGUUGAUGAUUUACUAUUGUACAAUGUGUUGCGGGAUUGAUUACAAUAAUUCAGAUAGUUCGAAUUAGAAAUAAUAACAAACUAAAGUUCGAGGACUAAGUGUUAUGCAUUCCAUAGUUUGAGGACCAAAGUUGUAAUUUAUCCAAUUGCUAAAAUAAAAAAAAUUGGGUUAACUGCAUACAGCUCCUUGUAAAUAUAUCAAAUAGUAGAUUUAUCCCUAUAGUGUUCAACUUUUUACAUUAUCCCUACAAAAGUUCUAAUAUUUUUAAAUAUGGCCUUGUUAUUAAGAUUCAUUAGAAAAAUGAAGUUAUCCAUAGGUAAAAUAUUUAACCCUAAUUAGUAAAUAAGGUAAAUCGAUCUUUUAUUUUUUUUAUAUUAUUUGUGAUGGUAAAAAGAAAGAAAAUGACUAUUGAAAAUUUUUGGAAGGAUAUUUCUGAAUAAUUCUAACAGUUCGAGCUUUUGGAGAGAUAUAUUUGUGAUAGUAAAGAUGUCAUUUCACUUAUCUUUUGUUAAAAAAUAAACAGCACUUUAACGGUAACAAAUAUGAAAAGCUAAAUUUUAUAGUGAUAUAUAUUUGCUAUUCGAUAUAUUUACAAAGAGCCGCAUGGAAUUAACCCAAAAAUAAUUUAGACAAGUAUGUGUAAAAGAGCUAAAGUUUAGGUAGUUUUUGUGUAUUUUUCCUGGCAAUUUUAGUAGCUGCGGGCGAAGUCGUCGCUGGAUUGGUCUUAUCGGAGAACACGUUGCCGACUUUGGAAAACUAACAGCUGGAGAUUGGUUUCUCUCUCUCUCUCUCUCUCUUUCUCUCUCUCUCUCCUCUCCACAACCUCUCUCUCUCUCUCUCUCUCUCUCUCUCUCUCUCUCUCCUCCCCCAAUUUCCGAGCCCUCGAUCGAUCGCUCCCCCUCUCUCUCUCUCUCUCUCUCUCUCUCUCGCUCAUUCUCCUCGUUUUAGGGUUUCGAUCGCGCCUGAAUCCCGCUCCCAGGGGAGGGGGGAAGGGGCCUCAAUGUCGCCAUGGAGUGCUCCGUUCUAUCGCGAUCUCGAUUGAGGUGGUUUUGUAUCCGCAAUUCCCCUCUUUUCUUCGCAUCUUCUCUUCGGUUUUUCGGUGAUUAUUUCGUAAUUAGGUCCUUCGGUUUGCUGAUUAAGUGUUAAUUCUUCGGGGAAUUGUUCGUAGGAGCGUGAAAUAUAGAGAUUUUGGAGGGAUUUUUGGGUUUCUUCUAUUUAGGGUUUGUAAAGUAGUAACGCGGAUUAGAAUUACGAGGGGAAAAAAAUUAAAAAUUGUUUUUGUGCACCUUUUUUUCUUUUUUUUCGCUUUUUUGAUGUUUUUGGCUUCAUUAGGCCAAUUAGGUUGUGUUUGUUUAUGAAAGUUUUGUCCUUUAUAAUGUUGGUAAUAUGAUUACAAAAUGUUGUGUUUUUUGUUAUGUUUUUUUUUUUGUAAAAAAGAUAUUAUUUUUUGUUUUCUAUGCGAUUGAACAUAGAUUGGUGAUUAAUUUGUGGACUCAUUGUAUUAAAACAUAGAAAUGAAGUAAAAAAAAAAAAUGGUUACUACUGCAAUUUUGUUACAUGAAUCCAUAAAUGUGGAGUUGUUGCAAAUAAUGCACAAAAGUAAAACUAUGAGAUUGCAUAAAAUUCGAGAAAAGAAAAGGGAAAAAUUAAAUGUAAAUAAUGUCGAAAAUGCACUUUUGGAUUUGAAAAAUAUAAGUAGGUAUUAAACAUGUACAUAGGAGAUUCCAUGCUUUAGUUUACAAGCAAUCAACUAUUUGAUUGGUUUUGUAUCUGUUUCGUUUCAGAAGUUAUCUUUGAGAUUCUAUGUUGCAUUUUGAAGUUUCUCUUUUUCGAAUAGAGAUGAUGCAAACAUGCACAUGUUAGAUUAUGUAAAACUACUGUUGUUUUUCAAAAGCUUAAGCUAUCAGAUGAAUUAAAUGGUAGGAAAUUAAUAAUGUUAGAAACUUCAUGAGAUUCGAACUCGUGACCUCGUGCUCUGAUAUCAUGUUAAAUUGUGUGAAACAAUCGUUGUUCUUCAAAAGCUUAAGCCAACAGAGAAUUGGUGUUUUUAAUAUCCAUAUUCAACAGCUCAUUGUUAUGUUAAACAUGUUUACUCGUGUAGAGUUUUAAGCCUAUCUGGUAGCUUGAAUCUCUGAUGGUUUUGAUUCAUAUGCAUCUUACUUAUAUGAGCAUUUUCAUUUUUUUUCCAUUUAUUAUCUAUGCCAUAUCUCGAAAUUCUUACUGUAUAACCCUCAAAACUGAGUAUGUGCUACGCGAGUUAUGGAGUGCCAAUUCUUUCUACCUUAGACUCGCGCAUCAAAGAUCGAGAGUUUAAUCUUGGCGUGCAAAAUGAUGUAUUUUCGCAGGCACCUGGUGAGCAACAGCGAUUGCGAGAAGGUCGCUACCAUAUUUAUAAUCAGGGGUAAUUCUAGUAUCAAUGCGAAGGAUAGAGAGCAUGCUUUGUGGAAUCCCUGCUUCGGCUGAUGCACUUGAUCAGUCUCGCCACCGAUACAUUCGGUGUAAUAACUAUCUCUCUUGUCUCCCUUCUCUCUCUUCUGGGCCUCCUUUGCAUCUACCGCUCGUUAUAUUUCCAGCUGCGCAUUCGACGACGGCGCUUCCUCCAUCUCAGCUACUUUAAUGGACCGUGGGUUACCCGCAUCACCCUGAUCCUGAUCUCGAUAUGGUGGGGCUUCGGGGAGAUCAUCCGAUUGAGCUUUUUGCAUGGCGCGGGAAAGCUCUUUUCGAGCCAAACGUGCCAGAAGAACGUGUGCAAGUUCUACGUCCUGUCGAACCUUGGGUUCGCGGAGCCAAGCGUGUUCCUUAUGCUCGCGUUCCUCCUCCACGCGGCGCUCCAGGAGCGCGAGUUCACCUUGAGCCAAAGAUGGAACCGGAAGACCAUCAGCUGUGUCGUGCUUCUCUGCUUCCCGGCUAUUCUCUGGCAACUUGCCCUAGUUUUCAUCGGGCCCAAGUUUGCUAACCGGGAGAAGAGCGAUAAGAGAGUGGACAUGAUGAGGCUCUUCACCUCGACCUCUUCGCUCAGCGACGGCACCGUCACAUGCACAUACCCCUUGUUGAGCACCGCAUUCCUCGGGGCUUUCUACAUUAUACUGAUCACCUACGUAACAUACAUCGGGAGCCGGAUGCUGUCGCUGGUGAUCAACAAGGGGCUAAGGCGAAGGAUUUACGUGUUGGUGUUCUCCGUCAUCCUGUUCCUGCCGAUGCGGGCGCUCCUUCUGGGGUUCUCGGUGCUUCCCCGGCCGGGCGGCUUGGCGUACGAGGCGAUCGUGUUCCUCGCCUUCGUCAUGAUGUUGUUUUGCACCAUGGUGGGGAUUGUUAUGCUGGUGUAUUUCCCCAUUGCUGAUACCUUGGCUCUGGGGGAGCCAGAGCAUGUGGAAAUGGAAGGGGUGCCCUUUGAUGACUACUACUAGUUUGGUGUUUUCUCAUGAAUUUUUUUUUUUUUAAAAAAAAGGAAAAAAGAAAACAAAGAAGGGAUUUGAAUUUGUUUUACUAUUCUUUUCUAAAUUUUUGUGUUUUGAAUUCAAAUGUGACAUGAUAUCAGUUUUGUAGUAAAUAUAAAAUUAAUGCCAACUAUUUGAGUAAGGUUUGUUUCCUCUUGCUGUAGUCAACUCCUUAACCAUGUCAAGCAUGUUGAACUGAUCACAAAAUUCUCUACCAAAUCAGAUGUUGCUCAACUACAGCAAAAUUUUAAAAGGAUAUUAAAAUUUUUAAAAGGUAAUUGAAAUAUUUUUAUAGGAAUAUACAGGUAUUGAUUUUUUUUUUUACUUUUUUGAGUUAAAAUGUAUAGAACUUAUUUGAACUAAAAACCAUUUUGAAUUGGCUAUAUCAUCUUUCAAAAUUUUGAUUUUACUAUUUACCAUUUUAAUUUGUUUGAUUUAAAUUAGUCUACAAUUAUUUGACUUCAUUGGAGUUGUGAGAAUUAUAUAAAGUAUAUUAAUUGAACUUUUUAAGAUAAAUGACGCAUUUAAAUUUUAAAGCUAAAAAUAUCAUUAAUCGACUCCAAUUAAAUUAAAUUUUGAAAACUUAAAUAGUUAAUUAAUUAAUAGAGAUAAAGUUCACAUCUUUUGAAUUCGUUUGAUUCGGGUAUAAGUAAGAGCUAGCUAUUACAGGGAUAGGAGUAUGGGGAUAAGAAAAAUAGCGUUUGAAUGAAAAUUGGAUUGUUUUCGGGGAUAAAAAAAUAGCGAGAAAAAUAGUGAGUAGUUAUAUAUAAAAAAUUAAGGUGUUGAUGGAAAUAGUUAUAUCAGCUUUCAGAUAUUCAAGAAUAACUAUUCUCGAAUAAAAAAUUUGUGUUUAAAUAUAAAGGGGAUAGGGAUUAUCCCUCUUCAUAUCUCUAAUCUAAACGGUGCCGUGUGGUGUUGAUGAUGGUGAUGAUAAAUAAAUAAUAAUAAUAAAUAAAUAAUAAAUAAAUAAAUAAAUAUAAAGCAAAACUAUGGACACGUGUCGAUAAUCGUCUGCUUCCACGUACACAAACUCUCUCUCUCUCUUUCUCUUCCUUUUUCCCCACAACGAAACAUACCUUCCCUCUCUCUCACUUCACCCCUCGAACUCAACUUCCUCCUCUCUCUCUCUCUCUCUCUCUCUCUCUCUCUUCAUCGCCAUGAACGAGACCUCCGAGCUCCGGGACUGGGAACUCCUCCAGGCUUCGUGUACAAGCCCUCCCCUCCGCGCCCCGCUCUCCGCGGAGAACCCUAGCGGCCCCUUCGAGGCGGCCGACGACGCCGACUCCGAGGACGGCGCCAUCAAGCCCGACUACUUCGCCCCCGACUCCCGCCACCUCCGCCGCCACGCCGCCGACGAGGACGAUUCCGAUAACCCUAGCUGGGUCGACCCCGACCCCGACUUCAGGUCGGGAGCCGAAGCGGCUUUCGCGGGAAGUGGUUUCCCGGUGAAGAACUACGGCGGGUUCUGGUCCGACGACUCUUCGGAAGUGGACGGGUUCGAGGGAAUCGACGGUGGUGGGGAUCGGAGUUUGGGCAGCGACGGUGAGAGCGGAAGGGAUUUGCGUCGUGCUCGUGAGGUGUUUGAUGAAAUGCCGAGGAGAGAUGGAGGGAGCGGAGGAGGGGAGAGGAAAGGGGUGGUGUGGUGGAAGAUGCCUCUGGAGAUGUUGAGGUGUUGCGCUUUCAAAAUGAAGCCCUUUUGCUACAUCUCCAUUGCUGCGGCUGUCGUGGGGUUGUUUAUGCUUGGUAGGAGCAUGUACAAGCUGAAGCAAAAGGGUAGAGGAGUUUCUCUUAGGCUUGCCAUGGAUGAUAAGGUGAGAAUUUUCCUUCAUCUUGGUGCUGUUACGUACAAAUUCAUAUUUAUCACUGCUUUGUUGUUGCAAAGCUUUAAUUCUCAUCAAUGAUAUCGUGCAAAAGUUUCGAACUUUUGGAUAAGUUGGCUAUUAAAUUUUCACUGUUAGAACUGUUAUGCCCGUAAUUUUUUUUAGUAUUUUUUUAUAUGAUUAGGAUUUAGUAUUAAUGUAGAAUGACAUAGAAAGAAUAAUAGUGAACUUUAUGUUGGCUUAAAGGUGCUAGCAUCUUGCCCUAUGGCAUGAGGUCAAGUUGGGCCGAGUCAUGUUGGAAAUGGCGGGAGGCAAGGUUGGGUCGAGUCUUGUUCGAAGUGGUAUGAGGGUGGUCAGGUCGAGUCACAAUCGAGACCCGUGCGAGUUGUGUCUGUACAAUUUAAGUGAUUGCUCGUGUAUUACGAACACUUCAAGUUUUGGUAUUAAUAGUUUGCGUUAAUGAUCCGGCACGUUAGAUAUGGAAAAUUAAGGUGGAAGUAUUUUGAAAGAGAUUUUGAAGGGUAGAAUGGUCAUUUUAAAAUGAAGCACAAGGUCAGGGGUGUUUCACUUAAUAUUGCCAUUAGUGACAAGGUGAGGUGUUUUUUUAACUUUAUCUUGGUGCUAUGUUAUUUUUAUCGGUUAAUCUGGUAGGGUCGUAAAACAAGAACCUUAGGCCUUGUUUGGUACCUUUGUUCUUUUUUAAACUUUAAAGAAAAUAAAAUUUCUAUGUAAAAUAGUGUGAAAAUGGAUGGUGGAUUGUGUGCAAUCCUUACAUCCAAGGUCUUUGAUUGGCAACAAAAGACAAAACUUGGAAGCAACUGUUUUUUUGCCUCCAUUUUUUUUUAAAAAAAAAACCAAGUUAUCAUCCAUCAUUAGGCUAGAGUAUAUAACAAGCUAACUGAGCAUAAGAACAAAAGAAAAGCCUUUUCACCGGUAUAUGAAAUUAUACACAGUUAGUAUUUAUAUAAAAAAGCAAAUACUAAUUGUUAAAUGCUUGUUUUCACUUUGAGCAGUUUUGACCUUGAACUAUCCCAUGUCAUCAAAUGAACUUUCAUUUCGGACCAUAAAGAAAUCCUGGUAUUCCUGUAAUGUACUCAUUUUGUAAAAUAACUCCUUUGUUUAAGUGCAUUUGAAAUAGGAUCAAAAUGAUUAUUGUACAGGGGAAAAAAGAAUGUCAGAUCUUUUAUUUGCCAGGGAUUGGAUGCAAUAAAUUAGAUAGUAAAAAGUUUAGGGACUGAGUCUCAAUGAAGUCCCCGAACUCUUGAUAGAGGGACUAAAUGUACAUUUUAUCUUUCUUUAAUCCUCUUAGUAUUAGGCCUUCUUCACUUGUUCUGCUCCAGGCAUGCUUCUACUCUUAUUAAAAAUGAAUCAAAUCAUUGUGGUCUUGUAAAUACAUAAAGGCUGCGUUUGGUUCGGGUAUAAGUAAGAACUGCUAGUUCUAGGGAUAGGUACAAGUUCAGGUAUAAGCAGGAACUAGACCAAUUUUGCGUUUGGAUGAAAAUUGGGUUGUUCCUAGGAAUAAGGUAAAUAGUGUUUGGAUGAUUAGAUUGGAACAAGAGGAAUAAACGUUAUAAUUUGAAAUUAAAAUUAUAUUAUGUAAUUAAUUAACAUAAAAAUAUUACUUAAAAAUAAAUAAAAAAUUAAUUAUUAAUAAUUAAUUAUAAAUAAUAAUUAAUAAUAAUAAUUAAUUAUAAAUAAUAAAUUAUUAAUAACGAUUAUCUAAUUAAUAAUAAUAAUUAUUAUUAUUAAUUAUUAAUAAAUAAUAAUAAUUAUUAAUUAUUCUUAUUAAUUAAUUAUAAAUAAUAAAUUAUUAAUAAUAUUGAUUAUCUAAUUAUUAAUAAUAAUUAAUAUUAAUAUUUAUUAAUAAAUAAUAAUAAUAAUUAUUAAUAAUUAAUUAUAAAUAAUAAAUUAAUAAUAACAUCGAUUAUCUAAUUAUUAAGAAUAAUAACUAUUAAUUAAUUAUUAAUAAAUAAUAAUAUUAAUUUAUUAAUUAAUAAUAUCGAUUAUCAUUAAGAAUAAUAAUUAUUAAUAAAAAAUUAAUAAAUAUUAUUAAUUAUUAAUAAUUAAUUAUAAAUAAUAAAUUAAUAAUAAUUAUUAUUUAAUUAUUAAUAAUUAAUUAUAAAUAAUAAAUUAUUUAAUUAUUUAAUUAUUAAAACAAUAAAUAAUAAUUUAAAUAUAUUAAUUAGAUUAAUUAAUAAUUUAUUGCCAUUAAAAUUAAAUUUAAAUUUUAAUUAAUCUUGUUCUCAUCAAGGAAGAAGCUUGUUCCAAGAAACGGGUAGAACAGCAGUUCCAGCCUUAUUCCAGCUAGUUCCAGAUUCCCGGGAACUACUGUUCCCGGAAGCCAAACAUAGCGUUUGGGAACAAAGGGGGGAACAAGGGCUUUUUCCCCCCCUUGUUCCCCAACCAAACGCUACCAAAAAGAAUGUUAUAGUUGUGUAAAAGCAUGUUCUAAAGGAUUAAAUAUAACCCCUUAAGACUCUGUAAUGGUCAAUUUAGCCAAUUGGAUUGAAGGUGAAAAAAUUUCUCUGUUAUUUAAUGAUAAUAAAAUCCAGCACAUUAGCUUUGUGGUGCAUAGGAGCAAGCAAAGGAUUGAUACCAUAGAAUGAUGUGCGGCUUAUUGAGUGAAAGAAGAAUAUCAGAGGAGACCCACCAGAGAAAAAAACCCUUUUUAUCUUUUUUUUCCUCGAUGAUGGGGAUUGUUUAAAAUGUAGCUGCAAGUAGAAGUUCUUUCCUCAUUUUUCGCGAAAUUUUCUAAAGCAGCAACUUCAGUUUGGUCCGGCCUUUCAAUCAUCGAAAUUGGGUCCAUGAUCUUUGUAUUUUGUUUUCUUAAAUGCAAACAGUUUAUUAAACAUUUGUUGCAUAUAAAUGUUUCGCCACAAAAUCCAUCUUCUAUACUUAUAUUUUUGAUGUCAUUGUUGAUUCGUACAACAAAAACCUUAAAUGAGUGUCAAUUCGCAAAUACUUUGUAUAGUUCAACAAUUCGACUCUGUUCUGAAUGUAAUGCAGAUCGCGUCCCACUUCGCAGUCCGUGCUGCACGUCUCAACAAAGCAUUCUCAGCGGUGAGGCGCGUACCCAUACUGAGAACUUCGCCUCCCGCAUCCGGGAUGACUCCGUGGUCCAUGCUCCCUCUAAGAUAAGCUUUUAAGUUGCUUCUCCAUGAUGCUCAGGUAUUUACAAUAUGUUUAUUUGCCCUUUAUAUGUACUGUUUGUUACAUUACCUUGUAUCUGUUACUGUAUAAAUACCUUCUUUGUUUAUAUAAAGCUUUCGCAGCGAAAAUAAAAUGGAUGCAGUAUAUGAUGGUUGGUAAUGUUUCGAAGUAGAUGUUUUUGUCUUUGAGCUUCGUGCUUUUAUACCUCAUAGUUGUGUAUUUGGUCUUAUUUAUGUUGAAAUUUUGAAACCAAAAUUAGCAACUCGGUGUCAAUCAAAGUUGAAAUGUCUAAGAAACUAGAGAAGAUUCUUGUGACUAGGUUUUAUUUGGCUUUUUUGUCAUAGAUUUUGUUGCUUUUUGACACAUAUUUAUGUGCGAUUUGUAUCUUUGGGCUUUGUUCUCUUUCAGCUGAACAACUUAAGGAAAAAAAAAAUUAUUGAAAAAAAAAGAGACUUUAUUAUACCAAUUUCUGCCUAGUUUGAGGAAACAAAUUCCGUAAACAAAGUGAUUUCUCAGUAAAUCACUAAUUAGAUUAAAAAUUCUUCAACAAUGAUCACCCUAAUCAAAGAUGAUUCCUGCGGCGGUGGCGGUGCGGGUGCCGCCGCAUUCCGACACGCCGACGACCCCCCACUGCAUACGCCGCCGCUGCCUCGGCCGCCCUGCCUGACAGCACGCGCGACAGCGCCGCCAUCGCGCGUGACUGCCUUGCAACCGCCCCCGUCGUCGACGGCUCCUGCGACAGCACGAUCUCGUAGCCGUCGUAGUACGACUCCAUCCCCUCCGCCAUGGCCUGCCACACCAAGCCGCCGGCCAUCGACCCCCCGCUGGCCCGCGCGGAGCUGUAGAUGCCCGCGUACACGGUGUUCAGGAACGCGUCGCGCCCGUUCUCGGUGUACCCUGCGUCCCGCUUCGACUUGCCGAACUCGGCGAAGACCAGCGGCUUCCGCAGGAUCUGCCGCGCGUCGUUCCAGUGGCUCCACAUCCACCGCCGCACGAACGCCGUUUGCGCAGCGUCAUUUUGCCCGGAGAGCCUGCAGAACAAGAGUAACCUUUUGUGAUUCUUACCGUUCAGAUUCUAUUUUCAUCUACUUUUGUAAGUGAGCGAUAUUACCAUAUAUCUGGAUACGCAUGGAUGGUCGCAAAAUCAAUCUCCUUGACGAGAUUGCUGGUAAUGUAAUCCGUCCCAACUUGGAAUCCGGGAUUGUACUGCUUCUUCUCAGGCAUGGACUCCCCAUAAAACCCCUCCAUUCCCACCUCAAGCAUGUGUUUCCUAUCCAAUGAUUUUGUGUAACUCGCCAUCUCUUGCACCCACCCCUGUUACCAAAAACAAUAAUAACAAAAAAAAGUAAAAAAAAAAAAAAGGUGAAAAAAAAUUGAGAUUUAUGUGCAAAUUUGGGAAAAAAUUGCAAUAAGUGUGAAGUUACUAAAUCAACUUCUUAAUUACCAUUAUAAAUAUAAAUUUGUUUCUUUUAUUGUUAUAUUUCUUCUGAGAGAAAUUUUAUAGUUGUUUCUUUUUUCUCCAACACGUCUGUUUUAUCUUUCUUGUCAUUCUUUAUUCUUUCGAAAGUAACGGUGGUUGUCGUUGAUCAAUACGUGUUAAAACUAAUUCUGAGCUAUUGCCUAUUAAAUUGAUUUAAUAUCUAUCACGCACAUGAGUGGCAGUAUGAAAAUUUAAGACUAAAAUGACUAUUUUUUUAUGAUCAUUUUUUCAUACCCUCUAAUACCCGCCGGCCCGUUUAGUUAUAUAAUACGGUGUUCAGAUUCAGAUAAAAAGAAUUCCAAGUUGGAUGAAUCAUAACAUGAAUAGUUCAUCAAACUAUCUCAACAAAAACUCAUAGAGGAGCUUCUUAACAAAGUUGCAUGCGCUCGUUGUUACACAAGUAAGUUUGUAAUGAUAAAACCGACCGUCCCCUAGAGCAAAUGGCAAAGGGACUUGGUGGUUGGUACCUGAGACCCAAGUUCGAAUCCUAGUUGAUUCACAUUUCCAGCUAAGUUUAUUUCUAAAUGAAAUAAACGAAGCGGGUAGCGUGUUACCUAUCUCUCUCUCAAAAAAAAAAAAAAAAGAGUUUGUAAUGAUAAAUUGAUGAUACCCACAUUCACAGUCCUUCCCGAGUAGUCUCUUUCGCAACGAGGUUCAUUCAUUAGCUCCCAUGCCAUGAUUGUUGGGUCAUCUUUGUAGGCCGUUUUAGUGAUUGUGUUAACCCUUGUUAAGAUAGCCUACACCCAAAAUGGAAAUCCCAAAUUUGUAAGAAUAAUAUGUUAAAAGAAGUUGCAAGGUAUGUAGAUUUAUUACUAUUAUGCGCGGGUCCAAUUAAUGUGCUGACAUACUGACGUGUCAUAAACAAAUUUGCAUGUAAAAUGCAGAGGAGCAAAGAAACGAAUAACAAAAAAUCAUGCCCUAGAUGUUGGAUCUAUAGUUUCUGGUCAUGCAAAGUGCAUGGCAUCCGCGGCGGCGGUUUCUAAAAAGAUCGUCUGAAUAGGAUACGUACCGUAUACUUUUCUUCGCCCGAAGUAUUUACUCUUAUAUGUUUGUUAUAAUAUAUAUAUGGAGUUGAGCUGGAAUGCUAUCGGUAGCAAACGAAUUCCGUUGUCACCCAUUUGUUUUUUAUGAUGGAGCCUUCAAAUCGACGAUCGGCACCGUUGAACAUGAUCUAUACCACUUGAAAUAUCUAGAAAUCAAAUUUCAAAUCUUUUCGACAUCAUUGACCUAAUGAUCAAAGGGUUUCAAAUUUUGUAAUUUUAAUGGUCGAUAUGAAACGUUUUCUCGUUUAACGGUGUAAAGCUAUUCAAAUCAAUUGAAUUUUGGUUAGAAAAUUCUUUAAACUAUUUUAGAACAGAAUCUAUACUUUCGAUCUUGAUUACAAAAUUUCUAUCAUCACAUUUUAGAGGAUAUUUAUUUUCAGCCAUUCAUUUUUACGCCCACUUGAUGAACAAGAGAACAAUAUCGAAAAAGCAUGAUAUUUGAUUUCUAGAUACUUCAAGUGGUAUAGAUUAUUUUCAACGGUACCGAUCGUCGAUUUGGAGGCUCCAUCAUCGAAAAUAAAUGGAUGGCAAUGGAGCCCGUUUGCUACGAAUAGUAUUCCAGCUCAACUCUAUAUAUAUGUAUAUAUAUGCAUGGCAUAUGUUUACACUUUGCAUGUAAGUUUGGUGUGUGUAAAAUCAUGAAAAUUUUGUAUAAAAAUAAUGCAUAUAUUUAUAUUUAUAUCAUUACCUUUAUAUGGUUCUUGUAGUAACCCUUUACUACUGGAUUUGUAUAAAAAUCAUCUUCACUGUUUACUCCAACACCUGCUUUCCUAGCCCACUCUACAUAUUGGGCUUUGCCUCCAAAGUCUUUGAAGUUGUUAACCAAGCUCAAGAUCAGACGGACGCCGUAUCUCCGCGCCUCAGAGAUCACAAAAUCCAGACCCUUGAUUUACAUAAUAAGAAUGAAAAGAAAAAAUACAAUUAGUAAUGUUAAAACGAGUAAGUGAUAAUGAUAAUAUUCACUUAGGGAUUGUUUGGUUGCAUAUAUAUAUAUAUAUAUAUAUAUAUAUAUAUAUAUAUAUAGUGUAGAGUUACUAUACUAUCAGAAAUAUAGAGGAUUUGAUAUUUCCAAUUUUUUUACUCUUCGAUCAAAAAUUGUAUAAUUGGGAUGAUUGCAGUCCCCUCUAGGAUUGAGUAGUACGACUAGGGUUGAGUCGUCCCCACAGGAUAAUAGUAUUAAUCCAAAGGUUAAAAAUGAUUAAAGGGGUUGAUCUAAGGACCAGUCAGAAGCUCCAGAUAUUCUAUGCUGCCGAUAGCAUAGUAGCUCUCUCUCUCUCUCUCUCUCUCUCUCUCUCUCUCUCUCUCUCUCUCUCUCUCUCUCUCUCUAUAUAUAUAUAUAUAUAUAUAUAUAUAUAUAUUGUAACUAUAUUAUAGUUGUAAUUGCAUACAGAUUUAAAUAUAUCCAACUGCUGCAAAUAUUGGAGCUGUAUUCUUGUAGUUCCAAUUACAGAAGUCGGAAAGAAUAUAUAACUGUAAACAAAAGCUUUUCUUUUAGUCACUUUAAUUUUAACCUAAAAGUUUAUUUUUUCUUCAUUACUAAGAAAAUUUGUAAGUAUAUUUCUAAUCAGCAAUAUACAAUUAAAUAAAUUAUUUAUAAUUAUAGUAUUUUCUAUUACAACCAACUAAAUAAUUGAGAUGUACGUAGUUGUACAUAUAAGUUGUUACUGCUACAUUUUCAAAAUACAUUUAUAGUUACAUUCAACCAAACGGCUCUUAAUGUUUAUUGUAUUAUGUGAAUGUAAUUACCCCUUAAUUUUAGCUUGUAUUUCGUCAUAUUAUGGAGGACUUAUUGGGCCUUUGUUGAAUAUUUAAAUAUUAAUAGCAUCGUUCUAUGUAACUUAAGCUUUUAGAAAAUUUUAGUUGUUUUUUAUUUUUUAGCUUGGUAUCAAAGUACGAGGUUUUGAGUUCGAGUCCUGUCAAACUAAAUUUAUUUGCAUUUUUUUCCUUUACCUGAAAGACACGUUCAUUAUAGACGCCAGGCGAUGCCUGGAGCGCCCGAUCGCCACCGCCGUCGCUAAACGCCCACGUCCGGCAAACACUGAGCCCAUUGGCCGCCGCCUCCCGGAACACCUCGGAGACCUUCCCGCGGUCUGCAGGCUCGGCGGCAACACUCAUCAUCCAAUACGAAUUGAACCCGUUGAACAGAAACGGCUUGCCGUGGAGCACAAACUCAGUACCUCGUGCUCUGAUGAACCGGUCGCGGUGGUGGUGGUGACCAUGUUGGCUUCUUGCCUCACAAUGUAGGACAAGAAGAGUGGUUGUGAUAGUGCACAAAAUGGAGCAAAAGUGGCCACUCUUUGUGUAGCCCAUUAAUUCUUUGUGUGGGGAGAGUUGUAAAAGGAUGUGUAUAGCUUUUGAAGUGUGGGUUUUGGUCAUUGGUGUGUUAGGAGAGUAUUUAUAGAUGGGGGAGUGGGGAUGAGAACUCGUCAACGAGUACAAGGAAGUUGCAGGAUUUUGUGGGGGGGAGUUUGUACAAAUUCGGUGGUCAAGUGAUGUAAAAAAAAAAAAAAAAAUUGGUUCCUCCAUGUUGCUUGGACUUAGUCCACCACAUCAGCCUUAGGCCACCCAAAACUGCGUAUGUAUGUACCCUCGCUUUUAUUUAGUUUGUGGAUGAAACUAUUCAAAUGAUAGUAAAUAGUUCAGUAAUAGUUAUGGAUCCGGGGUUGGUGGAGCUCUCGCCUCGAUCUGCCUCGAGCGUGACGGUAAAAGUGAGAACAAAAAAUAGAGAAAAAUAUAAUCUGUUCCGAAUUCGCCCCGAUUUACUAAGUUUAUGAAGCGGGAGGCGGAAAAUCUCUUUUUUCUUUCAAUCUGUUUCAAUCUGUUAAGAAUCCGUUAAAAGAGCUCUCUUGGUCCGAUCCACCCCUAAUGAAGUGAUAAAUGGAGGCCAAAAAUAAAAUUAAAAUCAAUUAGUUCCGAAUCCGUCCAGAUCUAAAAAAAAAUUGAGCCAUUUUAACACCGCCAACCAAUAUAGGUGAUAGUAAUUUGGCUCUGAUAUUAUAUUACAUAUAAAAUAUGAAUCGAAUGAGAAGCAUCAUUACAGCUUAACGAAUUAAUUUUACUCUAUUUUUGCUUAGCAAAAUAUUUUAAUUGCUUUUCAAGUGGCGAGAAUUGAAGGAAUUGUUUGGAAAGCGAGGAUGAAUUGUGAAAUUGAUUGGUGGUCCACCACUCAUGCGGUGGACCAGGUCCAGGGAACAGUAUACCAAUUGGAAUGACAAUGAGAGCGUGGGAUUGGUGGGCGAAAAAGGUCGGUAUUUGUUAGGAUUUAAAAAAAUAAAAAAAAUAAAAAAAAAUAACCCAAAAAAAUGUCGUUUGUUGAGAAACGGUGGAGAGAUGAACCAUUUUGGCCUUUUUUAAUUUUAAAAUAAUAAUAAUAAUAAUAAUAAUAAUAAUAAAUAAGCAAAAAUAAUAAUAAAUAAAUAAAUUAAAAUCCCAUGUGGGCCGUUUUGUGACGUGGAAUCGGCUAACGGAUUAACUGAUCAUAUCCUAUCACAGAAAUAAUAAUAAUAAUAAUAAUGUAAGGAUAUUUCUUGAGAAUAAGUUAUCUAAAUUCAGUAUAAAAAAUUUUCUAAUAUUGAUUGUAAAAAAAAGGUUUAAUUUUUGCUUUUUAAAAGGUUUUAAUAUUCCUGAUUUGGUAAUAUAUUGUAUAUUUCAUUUACGAGCUAAUUUAUCUUAUUUAAAAAAAUAAUUUAAAAGUCUAAUAUAGUGUACACUUCUGGACCUUGAUCAAAAUUUUCAUAUAUCAAAUAUAUAAAAAUUUUUAAGUAAUUUAUGGAGAUAUGCUGAUGAACAAAAUAUUCAGACAUUCAAACAGGCCUGAAGUAAAUAAAUGUAUUGUUUUUUGUGAAGGGGGUAUCCAAACUUUUCUGCGUUAUUUGAACUUCAUAAAGCUAGAAUUUCGUGAUUUUUAAAUAUUAUUUGCCUACUAAUCAAGUAAUUUUAAACUCACCUUAUAUUAGUCAACAAAUAUAGUCAAUUUUGAGACCAGUAAAAUAAUAGAAAAAUGAUGUCGAAAGUCAUAAAAUUCGGGCCAUAUGAAGUUCAAAUAGUCAAGUUUUACCGUGUCGAUCGUUAAUUCAAAUGCUUGAUCGUCGAAAAUAACAUCGAAGUUUAUUUCUAGAAGAAUUAUAACUUUGCUCAUACAUAAUAAAAAGAUUUUGAAUAGUUGAAUGAGAAAAAUAGUCACAAAGGAUGCAAUUAGAAAAAAAAAAAAAAAAAAAAAAAAAAAAAAAAAAAAAAAAAAAAAAAAAAAAAAAAAAAAAAAAAAAAAAAAAAAAAAAAAAAAAAAAAAAAAAAAAAAAAAAAAAAAAAAAAAAAAAAAAAAAAAAAAAAAAAAAAAAAAAAAAAAAAAAAAAAAAAAAAAAAAAAAAAAAAAAAAAAAAAAAAAAAAAAAAAAAAAAAAAAAAAAAAAAAAAAAAAAAAAAAAAAAAAAAAAAAAAAAAAAAAAAAAAAAAAAAAAAAAAAAAAAAAAAAAAAAAAAAAAAAAAAAAAAAAAAAAAAAAAAAAAAAAAAAAAAAAAAAAAAAAAAAAAAAAAAAAAAAAAAAAAAAAAAAAAAAAAAAAAAAAAAAAAAAAAAAAAAAAAAAAAAAAAAAAAAAAAAAAAAAAAAAACUUGUAUCUUCAGUUAUUUUGCGUGUUAUUUAAUUUGUAAAUUGUGAAGUACAGGUAAUAUUAAAAUUAGGUAAUUCUAAUAUUUUAAUAUUUGUAAAUUAAGAUGUUAAAUUUAUUUGAUCUAAAUUUUAAAAAUAAAAAAAAGCUAAUAUGGCAGCGUACUUAACUAAGCGCUAAAAAGAAGUUGUAUUUAAAUAUUUAAAUUUAUAAAUGUGCUUCUACAUAAAAAGAAUUGUGCAUGUUAAUUUGUUUAAUUAAUGAAUAAGCAUGUUGCUUACUCAAAAUAAAUACAAAUAAUUUUCUUGUGUGCUCCUUAAUUUAUGGUAUUAUUUAUAAAAAAGAGGGUAAAUAUUUUUUUCUUCACUUUUUUACCAUGUCUCACGUAUCGUAAAUAGUCCAAAAUUGUAAAUAAAAGCCUAAUUUAUCCCCAAAAAACUAAUAAAAUAAAAGCCAAAUAAAACAAAUUUCUGAUACUCUGUAUAAAAUUAAAUAAGCUUGAUAUUAUUAUGAUAAUAAUAUCACCAUACAUGAUGAACCGAACAUUAAGAUUGCAUAAUAAAUAACAACAACAAUAAUAAUAAUAAUAAUAAUAAAAUGAAGCUCCUACUAAUCUAAGAUAACUUAAUUUCUUAAAUAAUAAUUAAUAACUGAAUUGAGCUUCCGCGAUGCUUUGCUCAACGUACUUAUAAUUUUUUAGCCGCCGGUGCAGCAGUAAUAAAAUAGACGUAAUGAGACACCGUAAGUAGUGCUGAACGGAUUUUGAGUCAAUUCGACGGUUAAACUUUUACUAAAUUAUGGAUGAGCCAUCUUGCUCCCAUGCAGUGCUCCCCCCUUAUUCCCCUUCCUAUGCCUCCGGUGGCCGCCGCCACCGCGGCCGCNGGCUGGCCUCGGCGGGCCCGCCGAGCGUGUGCGCGAGCACCGACAUCACCUUCGACUGCCGCGCGAUGAGCCCCGUCGUUGCCGGCUCCUGUGACAGCACGAUCUCAUAGCCGUCGUCGUACGAAUCCAUCCCCUCCGCCAUGACCUGCCACACCAGGCCGCCCGCCAUCGACCCCCCGCCAGACCGCGCGAAGCGGUAGAUGCUCCGGUACACCGUGUCGAGGUACGAGUCGCGACCGUCGACGGUGUAGCCCGGGUCCUUCUUCGACUUGCCGAACUCCGCGAAGACGAGGGGCUUCUGCAGGAUCCGGCGUGCGUCGUCCCAGUGGCUCCACAUCCACCGCUGCACGAAUGCAGUUUGGGCAUCGUCGGUUUGGCCGGAGAGCCUGACAGAGAGAGAAAAGAAGGUAAACUUACAUUUUGUUUAAAGUUACUCUCUCUCCAACUGUUAUAGUUAGAACGGUGUUACCGCUAUAUUUGGAUUCGCUUAUGCAGUUUCAACUGCUUGUAAAGACACAUUAAUUCUCCACCGACUUAAGAUUUAGAGAUCGAACAACAGUUGUUUCUUAUUAUUUAAUAUGAUACUAGGGCAAAAAAAUCUUGAAUUCGAGUCACAAGUUAGAGUCACUUCAGACUCCUAGUUGAUUUUCUCCUAUUUAAUCUGCGUUUACAUCAUGAAUCUAAUCAAAAAUUCUUGAAUUCAAACGUAAGAAGGAAUAGUGUUAAAUAUAAAAAUAUAAAAAUACAAUUGUUGUUUCGCAUUAUAUAACACUACAGUAGUUGAAUUCAAAUAUAUCAAAUUAAAUGCCCGACUUGGAUUUGGAUGUAGAUGCAAUUAAGUGCAACCAAGGAGCACCUAAUAAUUAUAUAUAUCUCUUAUUGUUUUCACUUUUAAGGGUGUAUUUACAUAUAUUAUCCUUCAAAAUCAAUUUUUCAUUAUAGAGUAUACUAUUACAAUUAAUUGUCCACUAAAAAUUGUUGAUAUGUUGGCAUGUUGAUGUGUUAUACUUAUAGAUUAAUUUUUAUUUUUAUUUUAAAAGAUAUGCAUAUAUUAGCUAAAAAUAAACUUCAUAGGAAGUUCAUUUACAAAGAAAAAUUGGACAAUUAAUUCCCUUGAUUUUUUAUGGUACUAUUGAACCAAAAUGCACCUUCCAAUAAAGGGUACAUAUAUGGAAACAUAUUUGUAAGUAAAAAUACAUAUGGUUUUGGAUGGACAUGUGCACAAAAGCCUAAAAAAUAAUUAAUGGUGGUGUUAUUAAUUAGUAUAUAUGUUUGUUGUUAAUUCAGUUAAAUAACAUAAAAUAACCAUUAAUUGUGAGUUUUUUAAUAUAGGCUCGAUUUGAACUCAGAAUCUAUUGCUAUUGCUCGUUCGAAUACCAUAUUAAAUGACAUAAAACAAUCGUUAUUUUUCAAAAAGCUCAAGUUAUAUAUUAAAGAACGGUAUGUUCAAUACUUAUAUUCAGUAAUUACCAUAUAUCAGGGUAUGCGUGGAUGGUCGCAAAAUCUAUCUCCUUGAUGAGAUUACUAGUAAUAUAAUCCGUCCCAACUUGGUACCCGGGAUUGUACUGCUUCUUCUCCGGCAUGGAGUCGCCAUAAAAACCCUCCAUACCGGCUUCGAGAAGGUGCUUCUCGUCGAGCGAUUUCGCGUAAGUCGACAUCUCUUGUAUCCAUCCCUGCUCAUAUGCAAAUGAAAAUUACUAUUAUGAUAUAAAAAAGAAACUAUGAUAUGUGAAAAUGAUAAUGUAUGCAUGCACGUAUGUACGUACGUGGUUUUACGUACAUACAUAUACAUGAAUUUUUCGUAAAAAAUCUUACUAGAAAUAAAUAGUUGUUUCGCAUUAAUUAAUUUGAUGAAUUAUUUAUUUGUUAGUAAUAUAAUUAAGGACAUAGAAAACACCAAUUAUUACAUUAAUCAUUUUCCCAGAGUAAUCUGAUUGGCAACGAGGUUCAUUCAUUAGUUCCCAUGCCAUGAUUGUUGAGUCAUCCUUGUAGGCCAUGUUAGUCAUUGUGUUGAUCCUUGUUAACACUGUCUGAAAAAAACAAAAACAAAAAAAAAAAGAAAAAAAAAAGAAGCAUUAAUAUUGUAUAAAUUUUGAGUAAUUUUGCAUGGAAUAUAUAUAUAUAUAUAGCAUUAUUCAAUUGAUCAACAUAUAUAGUAACCUUAAGCUCACCUUUACAUGGUUCUUGUAGUAUCCCUUCACCACUUCAUUUGUAUAGAAAUCGUCCUCCCCGUUCACCGGCGCCGCUCCCGCAUUCUGAGCCCACUGCACGUACUGCGCCCUACCGCCAAAGUCCUUGAAGUUGUUCACUAAGCUCAGGAUCAAGCGAAUUCCGUACUUUUGUGCCUCCGAGAUCACAAAGUCAAGUCCCUGAUAUAUAUAUAUAUAUAUGCAAAGUAAAUGAAGAGUUGUUUAAAUUCAUACUACUCUUAUAAGUUGCUGAUGUGCUGGCAUGUAGGUAACUCUUUUAAUCACCUGGAAAACGAAUUCAUUGUACACGCCAGGCGACACCUGGAGGGCGCGAUCGCCACCGUCGCUAAACGCCCACGUCCGACACACGGUGAGCCCGUUCGCCGCCGCCUCGCGAAGCACUUCGGUGACCUUACCGCGCUCCGCGGGCUCCGCCGCGACGUGCAUCAUCCAAUAAGAGUUGAACCCAUUGAACAAGAAUGGCUGGCCAUUGAGCACAAACUCAGUCCCUUGAACCCCAACAAAUUGAUCACCAUAGGUGGCCUCACAAGUUAAUGCCACAAAAGUAAUCAAAAUGUGGAAGAGUUUGUGGGUAAAAAUGCUUCGGUUGGCCAUGUUGGUUUUGGCUAAAGUUUGUGUUUGUGGUGUGUUCAUGGGUUUAAGUUGAGGUGGGUAUUUAUAGAGACCUAUAAAGAGAUCCACACACACACACGCACACACACACACACACACACAAAAAGAGAGACGAGGGUAGGGUUUCGUGAUGAAGAGGAGAAAAAGGUGCAAGAUUUCGUGGGGAUAUUCGGUGGUCUCGUUAUAGAAGAUAAUGUACGUGGCUCUAAAAUUUAGAGGAGUUUUGUAGGAGAAAUUAUUGCGUGCGCCAAGUGCACAUACAGUAAUGGCAGAUGUGAGGAAUCGAAUUUAGAACCUCCUAACACGAAGGGAGCUCAGAACUGACGGUGAUACUAUUUAUAGGACAAAUUAUUGCGUGUGCGAUCGAGGUGCAUAUAUAGUACAUUUCAUAUAGUAACAAAUGUGAGAAAUCAAACUCACGAUCUCUUAAAACGGAGGGAGUUUCGAACUCACUGUAAUAUCAUGUUAAUCGCCGAAAGAUCAAACUAUAGUGAGAAACAGCUUAGCACCUUAAAUGAUACUCUUCUAAACCACUAAUUUUUGGAACUAUUUAAUUGUCGGUAAUAGAUAUGUUUACAAACUAUAUAAAUUUUCAUACAUGGGCUUUUUAAGUAAUAAGAUCGUAUCUGUUGAAUUAGAUUUUGAUUUUAAUGCAUGCAUUUGGUGAUCAUUUAUUGGUGUGGUGUAAAGAGUGUUAGUAUGCACCGGGUGCACGAAUAGUUUCUCUAUUUUAGAUUGAGAGCGUGGGAUUGGUGGGCGGGAAAAGUGGGGGGAAAAUUAAUUAGAACGUGCAAAUUCAUACUAAAAACUACUUAGCCCAUGUGGGCCGUUAUGUGACGUGACAAAUAAUUAAUUGCGUGCACCGUGGUCUAUAGACCAAUGAGUGUUUUUUUUUUUUUUUGAAGAAAAACUAAAACGACUUGUACACUCCAAAAGAGGAGUGUAUAAUAUACAUCCACUCAUUUUAAGAUUUAUAAAUUUUUUUUAUAAUUUUUUUAAAAAAACACUUACACACGCAACAAGUGCUUUGUUUUUGGCUAAAUUAUAAUUUUUGGCCCUAAAUUAAACUAUAAGAUUCGUAAUGCUUUAGUUCUCAAAUUUUAGUUCGUUCUCUAAUUUUCGCCUCAAAUUUUAUAAAUUAUUAUAAUCAAGUUUCUCAAUUUAGUUUAGUUGACAAAUACUAAGGUUUCAGUGAUAUAUAAGCGAUGUAGUAUCUUAAUUAUUAUCAUAUCAUUAAUUACAGUAUUACGUACAUUAGUGGCAAUUAAUAUUUAGCAAAUUAAACUGUAUUAUAAACUUAAUUACAAUAAUUUUAAAAAAAUUGAGUAAAAAAUUAUAAACAAGUUGAAGUUUGAGAACCAAAGCAUAAUAUAACUUUUUUUUUUCUUUUGUAAACAAGCUCGUAAGUUUGAGCAUGGACACCCACACAUACACACGAUAAUCAUGACUCAAGCGUGAUUUUGAAUUCAAAACCUCUUGCUCAGAAAAGAAGGUUCUUAUUUGUAGAAAAGUAGCACCAAAAUUCGAUCGCAUGCGAUUCGGAAAUAUAACUUAAAUUAUGUGAAAAAUUAAAAGUGAACUCAUUCUUAAAUGCUACCGAAAAUCAAAAAAUUUUUUUUUUUUGAGAGAGAGAUAAAAUUGUUUUUUUUUUUUGAGAGAGAGAUAGGUAGCACGCUAUCCGUUUCGUUUAUUUCAUUUAGAAAUAAACUUAGCUAGAAAUGUGAAUCAACUAGGAUUCGAACUUGGGUCUCGGGUACCAACCAUCAAACCCUUUUGCCACUUGCGCUAGGGACGGUCGGUAAAAUCAAAAAAUUGUAGAAGAGGAAAAACAUAAAAUCAAGGGAAAAUAUCAAAAACCCCCUUGUGGUUUCAAUUUUCUUCACUUUAGUACCCUGUGGUUUAAAAUAUAUCAAGUUAGUAUCCUGUGGUUUCUCACUUUAUCACUUUAAUACCCUGUGGUUUAAGGUGUAUCAAGUUAGUAUCUUGUGGUUUUGCACUUUAUUACUUUAGUAUUCUAUGGUUUUAAUUGUAUAUCAAGUUCGUAUCCUAUGGUUUUUUAAACCAUAGGGUACUAAAGUGAUAAAGUAUUUCACACUUUAUCACUUUAGUAUCCUGUGGUUUUAAUUUUGUAUCAAGUUCGUACCCUGUGAUUUUUUAAACCAUAGGGUACUAAAGUGAUAAAGUGUGAAACCACAGGGUACUAAAGUGAUAAAGUGCAAAACCACAGGGUACAAAUUUGAUACACCUUAAACCACAGGGCACUAAAGUGAUAAAGUGAGAAACCACAGGGUACUAACUUGAUACACUUUAAACCACAAGGUACUAAAAUAAAAAAGUGUAAAACCACAGGAGGGGUUUUUAAAAUUUUUCCUAAAAUCAAAAUUGAUUUAGAAGUGCAUAGUAUACUGGUCUAAGACGCAUUUUCGUCCAUCAUGCUGAAUUGAGUAGAAACACCGCCUUAAAAUACAGCCAAAAUUUCUCCUUCUGCGAGCACGAUAGAGUAGGUAAAGACUGCUUUCCAUAAAUCAAGCAUGAGAGGAACGCUGGACAACGUUCCUUACGACGCCGUGCCCGUGUCAGACUUCUGUUUGAACCUAAGAAAAGAAACCAAAUAAUAAUAAUAAUAAUAAUAAUAAUAAUAAUAAUAACAAAUAAUGAAUAAAUAAGUAAAUAAAUGUUAAAAAAUAAUUUAAAACUCAUAGAAAAAUUUCGGGUUUUUUUUCUAACAUCUAAGAGCUGUUUGAUUUCUGUAAAAAGCAUGAAACAAAAAUGCAAGAAAAAAGUUUUUGAUGAAAAAUCUCAUUUUUAGUUUUCCGCCCGUUUAGUUCCAAAAAAACUAUUUUUUUUUUUUAAAUAUUUUCAAAUUAUAUGAAAAACCGGCAUUUUAGUUUUCCUAAAAAAAGCUGAAAAAUAAAAAAUUAAUUUGUCAUAAAAUUUGAAAAACAAAAUUUCACCAAAAAACUAGUUUUACUUGAAACCAAAUUUUUUUCAUGAAAAUAUUUCAUGAAAAAAAAAAUUUCCAUGCUUUUUGGGCAAAAUAAACAUGCCCUUAAUUACCAACUGGACAAUAUAUUGAUCAAUUAUAUUAAUUUGCUUGAAUUGAUCUGCAAUUCUUAUAUUUAAUUCCUUGUUUGUUACGUAUGAGUUAUUUUAAUACUGUUGAUUUUCGUGACUAUAAUGCGUCGUAGGUUUUUUUUNUAACAAUCGCAUCUAAUAAAGUAUUUUUCAUAUAAAAAGUUAAGGAGAAAAAAAAUAAAAUUCAGAGCUCUAAAUACAAAAGCCCCGAUACCAAUCUCUAAUAUUGAAACUUUUAAUAGCUCUUUCCCUGAAAAUAUGAAUUUGAAUUUAAAAUUUAAAUACAAAAACUAAAUUUUAAAUCUAAUUUUGAAAAUCAAAAUCAAAAUCGGAUUUUAGGAAGUAGACUUUAACUGCUUCUGAUUUUGAGUCUCUAAAAUUAGAAAUUUGAUUCCAAAAGUUACAAUUCGAUUUUAUAAAAGAGCUCGUCAAACCCUCUGGACGGAAUUUAUUCAGAGAGUUCGACCCGUCCCACCAUGACCCAAUGUAUAAAACAAUUCAGUUCGACCCUUUGAACCGAAUAUAUAAAUCGAAAAAAUCGCUCUAAACAAUUUGAGUCGACGGUUCAACCAUUAAACCAAUGAACAUAUCCAAUUUUAAUCAAACCAGCCGAAUUUUUUUAUCAAACUAUAUUAAAAUUCAACGACUUAAAUUCAACCUAGGUGUUUUUAUUUUAUAUUAGCAUAGAUAAACCAGUAGACGGUGAAACUUGAAAUUUUAUAUCUACUUAAUUUGGUCUACAAUAUUUGUUUCUAUAUAAUACAAUUUUAAAAAGCAAAUUAAUAUUUAGGGCAUUGUGUUGUCGUCAUUGAUUCGAUCGGUGGCUCAGCUACUGGAGGUGACUCUUGAUUCAAUAAUGAUAUUUUUGAAUCACGAUGCGAUACUGGCUUACUGUCACACCCCGCUUUACAGCGGAAGUUCGAAUUACGUCAACAGACCCGCCGUAUGUAUAAGAAUACGGACCGUACAGUACCACGUAACAAUUUUUUCUUUUUGUGAAAAUCAUACGUGGGCUACAUAAACAGCUAAAAACGGUUUUACCCAAUUCGAGCAUAUCCACAUUUAAUAACUCCGCACCACAUAUUCAUUUAAGGAACUUUAAAGCGAAAGAAAAACGGUGUAUUUUUCCGCUCACUGCUUUAUGCUGUUAUGUAUCAACUAACUACUUUUGUCAAAGGAGGAAGGGGUAAAGUUGGAAAGGAAAAAAAAAAAAAAAAAAAAAACUAUGUCGUAAUAAAAAACAAAAGUCGGAAAGUGAGAAAUUUGUGAGUUUAACGAAUCAGAUUUUGUACUCUUCAGGCACUGAAGUCGGAAUGUCGAUCUCUAUACGAUUAUGGUGGAAGUUCAGGUUCGGUGUCGAACAAAUGCGAAAUCGCAAGUGUCGGAUCGUUGGCGCUAUCCAGUAAUCCCAAAAGCUCGUGUUAUUAGAAAUACGCAAUCAAUUCACUUAAAACGUAUAAAUGCAGCGCUCAGGAGUCUCGAUUGUGACUCGGUCUAAGCAGCCUCAUGCCACUUCGAAUAUGACUUGGCACAAUCCAAGCUCCCGGCAUUUAAAACAUAUCUUCCGCCUUUUUAUUUUGAAUUUGGCUAUUUCAACACAUGUUAAACUUUCCACCAACCACUAAAUCGAUUAGUACAUAUCUUCUACCCAGAGCACUGCUGGGUCUCUACUUUAAUUCGCGGUUAGAGUUUGGAUACAUAUUAGGGAUGUCAGCAGAUCGAAUUCGAGGUGAAUUUUUUGUAAAAUCUGAACCCAAACCUAAACCGGAUGGAAUUUGAAAAUCCAUAUCCAAGCAGGAACAUAGCCAAAAAUUUUAAAUCCGAACCCGAAAUAAUUAUUUCUCUUUACCAUAAUUCAAAACUUAUUAUAUUAAAGACUAUAUUUUAAAAUACAAUUUUAAAUAUAACAUCAAAUAUUCAUAUAUAUUUAGAAAAAAAUGUAAAAUCAAUUCGGAUUCGGGUCGGCUCGAGUUCAGGUUCCAAUUGGGUAGGUAUAAAAUUCAUACCUAAAUUCAAAUCCGUCGGAUUUUUUUUUUAUACCCAUAUUUGAAACCAUAUCCAUUUAGCAGCAAGUAAAUUUCAUCCGCUCAGAGUCUAGUUCUGACAAAAUUCGGACAAAAUUUCGAGUAUCCCCAUAGGCCCAUACCCAUUGACAUUUCUAAUCCCUAUAGACAUAGUUUUUAUUUUUUAUUUUUGGAUGUGAAAUAGUUGGACUCAGCCCAGUUUAUUAAUUGGACCUAAAAGGGCUUUGGGCUAUGGAUAGCGAAGUGUCAUGUACUAUUCUUUUAUAAAAAUUUGCUCCCGCUCUGUAGCGUAGGUCUCGAUUUCAAGGCAUGCUUAAAAAUUGAACAAAUGUAUGCAUGGUGUCUAUAAAUUUAUGUUUUAAAAAAUGUAUACUAUAUAACUCGAAGUUUUUUUUUUUCUCCGGGGGUGAGGAUGAUACUUUGGUCAUCAAAUUUUUGUUUAAUGUAAUUUUUAACUCCAAUUUUAUAAAAUAUUAUAAUUAAAUUUUACAGUCCAAUGAAGCUGGUCAAAAGCUGAUAUUUUGUCGAUGUGACUCUAAAGUCAUCCGCCAUAAUAAUCUCACAUCAUUAUCAUAUCAACAACGUGUUAGUGUUCGUCAAUUAAAUUGUAUUGUAGGACUUGAUUAUACAGUUCAAAUAAGCAAUAAAUUUAAGUUUGAGGGCCAAAAGUGUAAUUUAGCCUUCUUCUUUUCUUUUUUUCUCUAUAUUCAUAAUAAGCUAAUGGACCAAUCCAUGGCCAUGAUUAAGGAUUCAUUACAACCAUCACUAAUCAUCAACUACUUAACACGCACCUUCUCAAUUAAUUAAUGAGUUAAUUAAUAGUUAAUAAAUUAUUUGUCUUAUUCAUGGACAACAGAUAAAACUUCAGUGGGGAGUUUUCUAGCAACAACUUUUUAGGAAGUUCCCGAUUUGCCGUCGCGCACUAAUUUUAUCUUAUAUCUAAUAAUUUAUUAACUAUUUUCUAAUAUUAAAUUUUUAAAAAAAAAUUAAACUUCAGAAAAAAAAAAUUAUUAUAAUCUUUAGAUAGUGAUAAAAAUGACUUGUGAUAAGAACAAAACGUCGUCGGAGAACUCUCCACUUAAGUUUUUUUUUUUUUUUUUUUUUUUUUUUUUUUUGAAAUUGUGGGGUCCUUAACGAAGCGUGUUGAUGUUUUUUUUCCUUGAGGAAACUUCUUUGUGGCAUCUCCUUCCACGUCACAAAAAGGUAUCUUCUACGGAAUAAUCUCAUUUUCUACAUCUCUCUCAAUAAUAUCUUUGGAUCUUGUCCCCAUCUCUCUAUUAAAAAAAAAAAAAAAAAAAAAUCUUUGCUUGCACCUGGUGUACCCAUAUGCAUCAUACACUGCACCUAAUAUUUAAUAAUUAAUUUUAAAAUUUUAAAUUGUCUUUAAAAAGCAAAAAUAAAUUACCACCACAUAACUUAUUCCGACACCCAAAGCCUUUAGGUAGUGUUUGGUUCGGGAACAAGGGGGGGAAUAAGCCCUUGUUUCCCCCUUUGUUCCCAAACGCAAUGUUUGGUUCCCGGGAACAGUAGUUCCCGGGAAUCUGGAACUAGCUGGUAUAAGACUGGAACUGCUGUUCCACCCGUUUUCGGGAACAAGCUAGUUCCUUGAUGAGAACAAGAUUAAUUAAAAUCUAAAUUUAAUUUUAAUGACAGUAAAUUAUUAAUUAAUCUAAUUAAUAUAUUUAAAUCAUUAUUUAUUACUUUAAUAAUUAAAUAAUUUAAAUAAUUUAUUAUUUAUAAUUAAAUAUUAAUAAUUAGAUAAUUAUUAUUAUUAAUUUAUUAUUUAUAAUUAAUUAUAAAUAAUUAAUAAUAUUCAUUAUUUUUUUAUUAAUAAUUAUUAUUCUUAAUGACAAUCGAUAUUAUUAUUAAU